UUUAUGUAAUUUUUCCCGUUUAAGUGUACUAUUUUAAUAAUAAAAAAAAAAGAAAGUAUCGAGGAUGCUUUGCUGGAUUCUUAGCCGACUUUCUCACCUCGUCCCACUACUUCCACUAACUUCAUAACCACCGCCCUGCCACCCCUGCACCUCCUCAUGCUCCUCCGCUUCUUCCAUGGCUGACCCGAAUAACCGACCCGUCACCGGCUACCCAGCUCCGGCCACCAAUGGUCACCCACCGCCGCCGUCCAACACCUCCUACCCCUACGCUGCACCACCACCUGCUGCUUACUACAACCAACAAUACUACACUGGACCAGCUUACCAUCAGCCUGAUCCCGACGCCAUCCGCCGCGCCACCUUCCUUCGCCGCCUCUUCGCUUUCAUAAUUGCCGGCGUCAUCAUCCUCGGCACCAUCCUCUUCAUCAUCUGGCUGGUUCUCCGCCCCCGUCUUCCCGAGUUCCGAGUCGACUCGCUCUCGGUUUCCAACUUCAAUCUCUCCUCGAGUACCCUUGUCUCGGCGGAUUUCGACGUGAAAAUUACUGCUCGGAACCCUAAUGGAAAAAUCACUCUGUUUUACGACAACGUUGAGGCGGCCGUUUAUUUUAAGAAUUUUCAGCUUUCCCAAACUACUCUUCCGCCGUUUUCUCAGGGGAAGAAGAAUGAAACCUCGUUCACGGCGGAAUUGGCUGCGGUAAAGGCUUAUUUGGAUGGAGAUAUUGCGAAUGGGAUUAAUGGGGAAAGAGGGAAAAAUGGAAAUGUGGUGCUUAAUGUCAGGAUGCUUAUGGAGGUGAGGUUUAAGGCGGGUGCUUGGAAGGCUAGGAGGAGGUAUUUGAAGGCGUUUUGCGGGGAUUUAUCGGUAGGGAUUUCGGCUAAUGCGAGUAAUGGGACUUUAACCGGUGGACCUCGACAGUGCCGUGUUGGCCUUUGAGGGAUUUGAGGUGAAAUGGGAUUUUUAUCAAAUCAAUGAAAAUUUUAAAGUUCUUAGUAGUUUUAUACUUAGAAUGCAAUUUUAUUGUGCCUUGAUUAGUGAGUAUAAGCAAUGUAAUAUGAUGAUUAGGAAUUGGCAUUUGAAUUAGGGGCACUGUGACUUGAUGUUGUGUUUGUGAAACGCUGUGGUGGUAGUGUAAUUCCCAUUACGCUUGAGACAGUAUUGUCGUAGGUUCUUACAUAGUGAUUAGUGUACAGUUGGUAUUGCAGUAUUCAUAUUUUCUCGCAUGAUGUGAUAUUGUUUGUUAUUGGUUGGUCCAAUGUUUGCUGUUGCCUUGAUUGUCUAUGAAAUUGCAAUCUGGCACUUUCUUUGUUGUGCUGUCUAUUCCUUCUUCUGGAUUCAGGUGAAGGGCAUAUUGGCACUUACACUAGAAGCACAUAGAUCUUACCUUCACCACCUACUGAUUUGGCCCUUUACUGCAUUUUGUGAACACAUGUUACUUAAGGGAUCUUAUGUUGAUGGUUGUGGAAAGGUUGUUGGUUUUACAUAAUAGAAGAUCAAUGGAAAAUGAUUAGUCGAGUGUCUAAAGACUUAGAAAAGUAUUCAAUGGGAGCAGUUCUGAGGACACUGUCCACUGGCAACCAAACAGUGUCUGCACGAUUCAAUUGCAGAUAGUCUACAUGAGCAUACUGCUAGGUAUAUGCACUCCUUAUUGCUUGCUCUACUGCCAGUCUAAUGUGCUUAGUUCUCUGCAUCUCUGCUGAUGUUUAGUGUGGUACAGAUAAUUGGUCUUGAAACGUGAGGGCAUACAUAUACUGUAGCAUGAACGGACAUAUGAAUUUUAGUUUUUGGAUCUGCUAGUGGUAAAAAAAAAAAGGCAUAAGAAUGGUAAAAAAAAUGAAAUUCAACCUGGACCUUAUUUUUUCUUUAGAUCACCGAGCAUGAUUGGACUUCUGAGGUACAUUGAGAUGAGAAAAAUAGUUAAUUGAUUUACAUAGCAUUGGAAGUUUGGUGAAUACAGGUGAAUUGUAGGAAAUUUAGCUGAUGUUGAUGAGAACGUGGCCUAGAUGCUCUACUUAAUUUAGAGUAAUUUUAAGUUGGAUGACGGGUUAUGUGUUUAGGUCAGAAGUGUCUCCUUCGAAGUUCUACAUUUAAUAUUGCCAUUGCUAGGUCAGGCUGACAUGUAAAACACAAAAUGAUUGAUAUGUUUCUUAUAACAUAGUUGGCAUGGUCUGCAAUUUCAAGGACAUGGUGAGGAGCACUUUUCCACUACUUUUUAAUGGGGAAACAAUUUCUGACUUAAAGUGAAAAUCUACUUUUAAGUUUUUUAGUGUCACUUGUAACUUAUGGUGCAUAAAAGACAUCUGAAAAUGUUCUUGAAUUUUAUGAUCUGCAUUAAGAUUGUCUUUCGAGCACAAAAUACUCCUCAGCAUCGAUUGGACCACUGUUUCUACAUGGAGUGUGACGACAUGCUAUGUUUGAUUCUGUCAUAGUUUUUUUUAUCUCUGGUUGGCGUACAAAUGCAAAGAUGUUAUUCGAUCUCCAUUAUUUGAUUAGCAUGCUGACACAACUUGAUUACGAAAUAUUACUGGCCUAUAAGCACAUUUUUCUGUGUCUCCAUGGUACUCUAAUUCUGGCAAGCACGAAAGAUACUUGGUCUAGAAUGAGUUAUUAGUUGGUUAUGAUGCUGCAUAUUUAGUGAUUUAGACCAGUUGAUGAUGUAGCUGCAUUCUGAAGUUUUAUUACUUAGUAAAGAUUGUAGCAAGCAUUAUUAAUGUAGUACAGUUUUAUAAGGCGGAUGGAUUGAAGUUUCAUUUCUCAAAUGUAAAAGUAUAAUUCCAAUUCUCUUCCUAAAACAUUGGCUGGGUAAGGAUGGUCUAUAUCCAGUAUUGCCUGAAAGGUAUAUUUAUAUUUACAUGCAUAAACAGGUUUUACACAUAGAUUAUGUCAUGGUUACCUGGCAGGUUGGCAGGAGUCAAACUAUAAUACCUUAAGGAAUUAAGUGAGACUGAAUAAAUAGGUUAUACAACCUUUUUUACUUAUUACAGAGUAAGAUUCGGUUCACUACAGUACUGUUUCUCUUGUUCUUGAGAGUUGUUGCACUCUUGUAAGUUGAACAGACAGAAAAAUAUUGUCUAGCUGUUGAAAAGGUGAUAUAUGCAUGCUUCUUUUCUUCCUUUGCAGUUUAAGAGAUAAAUGGUAUAUGAAAAUCCUUUUUGGCAGAAUGAGAUGCUACCGAGGAGCGAUCUAUUGAUUUUGAAGGUCUAAACUAUAGCCUAGAGCCAUAUCCUGGUGUUGUUUAGAGAAACACAUGGCUUUCUUUUCAUCUUUUGUAAGUUGCAGUAAUGCACUGAGCAAGUGCCUUAACAACAUGACGGCGAGCCUUGUGCUGGAAGAAAAAUGAGCAUAUUUGUGGGAUUUGACCGAAUAAAAUUGAAGAGUUUUUGGAGUAUAUUUUUUGUAUGAUGUGAUCUCUCUAUUUGAUUUUUUGAGCCUUGUUCAUGACGAUGUUUUGCUGACUACAUAUUCCCUGGCUUCUUCAUGACCGUUUCUUCCACUGGCUUUGUGUUUCGUGACAGUUCUUUAUUCUGCUUCCAAUUUAACUGUAAGGGAAAUUUUUACAAACCUUCCCUGAGGUUUAUGACAAUUUCAUUGAGCUCCCUCAAGGUUUUGAAAAUUACACAUAAAAUGAUAAUACUAUCUUAAUAUGUUAAUAAAACUCUUUUGUUGGACGUGUAUAUACAAAGAAUAGAAUUUAUAAUUAUUUUUUCUUUUCCUUUUCUCUUCUUAUUCCUUUUUUGUUAUAUAUUUUGGCUAGUGAAACUGUAGAAAAGUAUAAAUAUCGACGCUGAAUGUUGAACUGGUGACUUUUUUUUUUUUUGAACGACUUAGAAUGCGAUCCAAUAUUUAUUUGUUGAUCAUUUUUUUAAUCAAAAGGCACACUAACUCAAAACGAAACGGUCAAAACUACUACAAAAUUAUGGUAAUUCCAGCAAUUUAAAAAUUCACAAACUCUAAAAGUAGUAUGGCAAUAUUUUCAUCUCCAAUUUAGAAGAAUAUUUAUCCCCAGUAAAUCACUAUUGUCAUAAUUACUUAUCAAACAAUAAAUAUGGUAUUGAAAACUUGAUACUCGUUUCCUUAUAUUUGUGCUAAUAAUUACUUUGGAAAGUAAUUAAACAUUAUAAGUUGAACGUAUUUUGGGGUAUUCAUUUAAAUUGCUAGCUAAUGUUUAGUUACCAAGAGUGUCAGAUGAAGGGAGAUAUGUGUAAUUUUUGAAACCUCAAAGGACUUCAAUGGAAUUGUCACAAAUCUCAAGGAAAGUUUAAGAAAUUAUCCCUAAUGGUAAUGUUCAACUCUUGAGAGGCCAUUUGUUCUCAACUUGUUCUGUCAUCUUAGAUCUGGAUCUAGAAUGUUAGGUGAGGUCCUAAUUAUUGACCAAUGACAUGAACUUGAAAUCAUGAAGUGGGCUUGAGAUUCUGGUUUUAUUACGAAGAAUAAAAUGCUAGAAAACUCUUGACAAUGGUCUGAAGUCUUCUAUCCUAUACAAGCAACUUAUUAUGGUUGACUACUAAUGAAUGUAAGGGUCAAAAAUAUCUCAGUUGGAAAAAUAUUUUUAACAAAUCAAUACAGCUCCAGUGAAUAGGAACGGAUUCAUGAUUCUGAUGAGAAAUUACUACAUGGUUCUACUACAAUUCAUCAUAGAGCACAUGUCAUGGCUAUGGCCCAACAAAUGACCUAGUCUAAUAACUCCGUCCAAAUUCAUAUUAAUUUGCUCUUUUUUUUUACUGCAUGGUCCUCAACUUGGAUGGUAGAUUAUUUGUACAAAUUUAUUUGCUUGCAUUAAAAGUAUAUUUUUUAUUAUUUUUUUUAUCUCACAUACACCAGAUCGAAAAAGUAUUGCAGUAUUAUUCCAAAUAAUCUACUGUCCACAAAUAUAAUAAACCAAAAGAUUUCAUCAACUAUUUUGUAGCCUACAACAAUUCAACACGAGACGUAGCUAGAGGCUAUAUAGCAUUUGAAAGGCGCACAAAAACAAAAAGGAAAAAAUGAAUAAAUAUUUGGACUCAAAAAGGAAAAUACAACAUUCAUUAGAUUCAAGCAUCCUGCAAAAUCCAUCUUUUUGAAUAUUUUCAUACGUUCUUGGUGAUUGCAAGUUUCUUUUUUGCGUUAAUCUUUCUUGACAUGCAAAGGAGAAUUACUACUACAACCUUCAAAGGUUUACCCCUUUUUGGGGACACAUAGUACAAAGAUGUUUCAUAUUAUGACGAUCCAACUAAUACUUUGGUUAAAAUCUUAAAAAAUACAAGCUAAUUGUGUUUAAGAUUGAGGUAUAUAUUCCUGAAAUUGCAUAAAAUUAAAUACUAAUUAUAUGUGUAACUCUACUUUUUUUUUUUUUUUUUGCCUUUUCUUUUACCUCCCUCCUUUUCCAAAUCCACUUCUAACCCCCAAUCUGCUAGGUCAGAGCCGAACCCGUAACCUAGCAGGCGAGGAGGACUUCAAAAGCCCUCACCUAAGCAAACCCACUAAGGGGCUUGAUUAUAUAUAACUCUACCUGCUUACCCUUUACAUUAAAAUUAAAACCAAUGCUAGAAAUAUUAGAGGCCAUUAGGAUUAGGGGUGCAAUUUAAUGAGUUGAGUUGGAGCAUUCUAUUGAUCGAGCACCAGAAUCAAAAUGUUCAUCUGCAAAGAAAGUUUGGACCGAACCCAGUCCCUUAUAGAGAUCCUCACUUGUGAGCACUCAAAUUCAGCAGAAUUCAUCAUUCCAUUCUUAUCCUGUCUCAACUCCAAUUGAAAAGCUGUUUCAUUAAACUCUGAAAAAGAUUCAUUUCUUCCUUCCCCGGUGUUGUGUUCAAUUUCUUUACCACUCCUCUUGUCUCCGACAGAAUCUUGCACGCGUGAAGCUUCUUGCACCUUUAUUUCUUCUAAAAUUUGUGACCUCUGCUUUUGGAUUUUGUCGUCUAUGGCUCAAUAACUUUGGUGGAUAUUCUAGUGAAGCUUCAUGAGAUUGAAAACGAAUAUCUCCAUCCGAAGGAGCUAUUUUUUGGGGGCUUUAUGGGCUCAUAAAGGUUAAGAUAUUCAACUUUUUGCAUGCAAAUUGGAAAUGUUGUGAAGACGUAAUGUAUCCUUGGCUUGUGUUCCAUGAAAGAGGCUUAUUCGUCCUUGGAAAAGAGAAAUGCCCUUUUCCACCAGAGUAGGGAAACGCAAAAGCCCGAAAAGAAAAGAGAGCAAUGCAGGCAAUCAAUGUCUCAAAAUAGAAAACUAUCAUUUCAACAAAAAAUUGUGGAAAAAGGAAAUUAUCAAUUCAAUUUUUGAGGCUUGAUCAAUGAUCUUUUAUCUAACUUUUGAAGUUAACCAGACAUUUCUUCCAAAAACAAAAACCCAAGAAAAAGGAAAACACAAUUUCUUUUUUCUUUUUUUGCUGAGAUAAAAAAGAAAUGCAUAAAUAACAUGAAAAUAUAGAAAUGCUGCGUGGAUGUUCUGCUACCACAAAAAAAAUGUCGGCAGAGUUCACUUUCAAAGUUAAUAUACCAUGCAGAAGUGGCAUUUCACAAAAAUGAGAUGAUCCCAAAAGAUAGGAAUCAGGAUAAGAAGAAGAGAAAGUUUUGGACGUUUCACCUACCACCCAAAUACGCCAAACAAAGUAUGGUCCAGUGUGUAGAAUUGAUUCCACGGCAUCGUUCCAUAUGAGUACAAGGUGUUUUAAUUAGUGAGGACUGUGGGAUCUAUGUGUCUCGUUGUCUUGUACUUCCAUUGCCAUCUUCUGAACAUUUUCAACUGCUACAGAGACCAGUCACAUUAUUGCUUGUUCUUGAAAGCUUCAAUCAUGGGGCUUAGGCUUAGCAUUCAUUCAAUGGUUGAGAUUUCAAGGCAACAACGUGGAAGAAUUUAGUUUGGAUUGAUGCCCUUUUGCUGUUAUAUAUGCUUGAAAGCUAUGUUUGAGUCGAGCAGCUCCACUAUCAAGAAGUGAAAGUACCAUGAUUGAAUUCUGCCAGUUGCUUCUUGUAUUUAACACUCAGGGCCACCACCGCCGUGGGUGAGAGAACGGAUGAUUUGUAAAUAUUUGCUCAAGACUUUAUAUAUAUUCAGAUAAAAUUCAAACUUUUUAGUAUUUCGGUAAGGUACAAAAACCCAAAUUGAUACUUUUAAAUAGUUUUUGAGACCUAUUAUCAUUACUAAGUAGCAGUAAAAAAAUUGGUAUUCAUUUUUUCACGAUAUUGUGCAUAAAAUUGGCUUGCCAAUGCUUGCAUCAGUUUUCGUCUUUAAAUUUGACACAAUGCAAGAUUUCACCUACCUUUGCCCAGAUGUGACUGAAACUCGUGCAACUCCUGUCAAUUCUUUCGAAGCCAUUCUAGUAAAAGGCCAGAUAACCUUCUUGUUCUUCAGUUGAUGGUGAAAAGACCCAUCAAUUUUGCUAGGCCACAUCCCUAGUGUUCCCAACAAUAAUGUCUUAACCAAGCCCUAAUGCUUUUAACUCUUUGUCAAAUUGUGGUUCUAAUCUCUAGAGAUAGUUAUUCUAUUAUACUUGUGGUCCCUCUCAUCCACUAGAAAAUAAUACUGUGCCAUGGUUGCUCUUGUAGCAAACAAAUUGUUAAGAAAAAAAAAUUGAAUAUUAUCCAAAUGUUUGUACAAAAAAAUUUUCUCCUUAUCUACCAACCUUAUCUACGUUUUAGACCCUGUUUGAUAAUUCAAUUCAACGUUUAGACGAGUCUAAUAACAAAACGUAGAAUAUCUGAAUUAAUUAGAUAAUACUUCAAUUUUACCAAACAGACCCAAAUGUCUAAAUAUGCUAUUGAUCAGAAUCUACCUCAUUUUAAAAUCUAUCUACAAACGUUAUUUACUUAUUUAUUUAGAGGACUUGCUAUGUACUUUAGCCGAUCAUUUAGUAGAUUGAUAAAGAAGUGGCGUUAUGCCCCUAUUACCUUAAUUGGUCUAAUUCUUCCCGUAACAGUAGCUAGCUACCAUGACUAAAAGGUUCAAUUUUAAUCAAAAGAUAGGUCAAUAAAUCCUUUAUCAAAAAUUUCAUGAUAGGCAUUAUAAUUUGGUUUUCAAUAGUUAAUUAUACCACAAUUACUCUCUUUUUUUUUUUUGUUUUGUUUUAGAGAAUUAAUCAACAUAUCUUUUAAGAUGAAUCAUUCGGUUAAAAAUUUAGUUUAACUUAAGACAAAGCUCAAGGGGAUUAAAUUAACUUUAUUCACAAAAAAAAAAUGGUGAACAAAAAAAAUUGUAUAUUAGUUAUUGCCCAUUUAUUUGUGCCCAUGGAACGACCAGCUGGGAUUUUCAACGGUCAUUUAAACUAUGAGCCUUCCCGCCUUCACGGCCACCACAAACACCGCCAACCAACUCCCUCCACCACCUCUUCCCCAUAAUCCCACCACCAACCCACCACCGCCCAACACCAUCACCGUCAAUGGCAGUCCUCAAAAGCAUCAACCCACCUUCAAGACCACCCAGAACAAACCAAAUACUCCUAUUGAUGAGCUAAUAGUUUCAUGGACUUCUUCGAUUGCCUACCAUUGCCAGAAAGGUCGGUUAUCCGUAGCGGCCUCAGAGUUCAACCGCAUGAGGCUCUCCGGUGUUGAACCCAAUCACGUUACUUUCGUGAGCAUCAUCUCUGGAUGUGCCCAUUUUCCAGCUCGGGCUUUGUAUUUUGGAGCUGCUAUUCAUGGGUAUACACGAAAACUCGGGUUGGAUACAGGGGAUGUGAAGGUUGGAUCGGCUCUUAUUGAUAUGUACUCCAAGUUUGGACAAAUGGGUCUGGCUAGAUUGUGUUUUGAUCACAUGGGGUUCAAGAACAAGGUGUCUUGGAACACUAUGAUUGAUGGGUACAUGAGGAAUGGCGAUUUUGAAGCAGCAGUGAAUCUGUUCGAUGAAAUGCCUGAGAGGGAUGCAAUUACUUGGACUGCUUUGAUUGUGUGGAUUUUCGAAACAAGGACUUUUCCAGGAAGCUUUGGUAUGGUUUCAGGAGAUGCAGUUAUCAGGGCAAGAACCUGAUUAUGUAACCUUGAUCUCCUUAUUAUCUGCAAUUGCUAAUUUGGGAAUGCUUGGUUUAGGCCUAUGGUUGCAUCGAUAUGUGAUGGGAUGUGACCUGAGGGAUAACAUUCGGGUGAAUAAUUCAUUGAUUGACAUGUAUUGUAGUGUGUCUGUUGGAUCUGUUGAUUUGGCUCGUCAAGUGUUCAAAAGCAUGCCUAAACGGAGUUUGGUAUCGUGGAACUCCAUCAUUGUUGGCUUGGCAAUGAAUGGGCAUGCAGAGGAGGCAAUCGAGUAUUUCUGGUUGAUGCAAAAGGAUGGGUUUGAACCAGAUGCUGUGAGCUUUACUGGAGCUCUCACUGCAUGUAGCCACGCAGGUUUAGUAAAAGAGGGCCUCAAUUUGUUUUCUACAAUGAGCACAGUACAUAGAAUCUCUCCAAGAAUUGAGCAUUAUGGCUGCAUGGUAGAUCUAUACAGUCGAGCAGGGAUGUUAGAAAAUGCAUUGGAGGUGAUAGAAGACAUGCCCAUGAAGCCAAAUGAAGUUGUAUUGGGAUCAUUAUUAGCAGCAUGUAGGAACAAGGGGGAUGUCAAAUUGGCUGAAAGGCUUAUGAGUUAUAUUUAUCAAAUGGAUCCUGAAGGAGAUUCUAAUCAUGUAUUGCUUUCCAACAUAUAUGCAGCACUUGGAAGUUGGCAUGGGGCAAGCCAUGUUAGGAAGAAAAUGAAGGCACUUGGGAUACGGAAAAAACCAGGAAUCAGUUCAAUUGAGCUUGAUGGUGUCAUCCAUGAAUUUGUAGCUGGUGAUAAAUCCCAUGUCGAGACAGAGUACGUUUAUGCCAUGCUAGAAUCGUUGUCGCUAGAGCUAAGAGUAUCAGGUUACAUGCCAGAGACUAAUUUAUCAGAAUUGUACGAGUAUGACUGAAUCAUUGGUAACGUCGGAUGUUCAUGUUGUUGAAGAGAACACAGAAUCUGUUUCCCUCCUUGAAAUUUAUUUCGUUGCACAAAUGAAAUUUUGAUAGAAUGUCCACCAUUUUGAUUUUGUCUUGCUUACUUUAGCUUGUUUGAGCAUACUAGGAAAGUUAACAUAGAACGUAAACAGAUUUCAGUGGAAUCCUACGCCACCAACGGAGGUCCUGCAAGUAGAUAGUAGUGAGGUAGGAAUGAACUAGAGUUAAGAGGAUGGAAAAUAUAAAUUACCCCAUUAUGGUAAAUGAGAUAUUUUUUAUGACCUCUCCAAAUAUGACACUGUCAUCCUUGCUUCUGCAGUCCUUCAGCAAUGCAACCUCACUCACAUGAUCAGUUUUUGAAUCAAAAUCAAUGAACUUAUUAGGUGGAAGAUAUUUACAAAAAUCAUCACCAUUAUUAGCUCUCAAGUGCAGAAAACCAUUGAAUGACACUCCUGUUGUUCUUUCAGGACGCUGAUAAGGAAAACUUAGCUCUUACCAACCUUUGAUUUUCAAUCCUGCCUCCAAUACAAGAUCAUCUUUGCAAUUUGGAGUCUGUCUAUCUAUCUGUAAUCCAUAUCACUGCUUCUAAUCGUCUGUGCAUGAGCUGUAACAAUUCUCAGAAUUUUACAACAUAUAUAGUGAGGAUUUCUUGCACCAUAGUCAGGUCCAUAUCGUCUAAUUCUAGUAUGUGGCUGAAGUAUGUUGUCCACGGAUUCCACAAGUAGAAAGAACUUCCAAGAAUUAUAAGCAACAAACCGUUGCAUGAACCUGCAAUCUAGAUUUCAUCAUAGUACUGCAAUGCUGCUCGCUCCCAUGAUACUUUUGGUUCAAGUCUUCGCAGUUUGCAGUACAUAAAGUAGAAACGAGGAAUUCCUUCACAUGGCAUCUCAUCAUAUGAUUCUUUCGAGUACUAAUGACAUAAAAACUGCUUUUGCAUGUCCAAGAUCACGGAUAAGGUAGAAUUCAGAUUGGAAAUUAUGGAAUUUCACAGCUUGGUUAUGCACUUGAAUCUUAUUACUACGAAUUAUAUCAUUUGGAAUUGAGGCAGUUGUACUAAUUCAUCGAACUGUCGUAGUUCUAUGAUCAAAGACUAAGGAAGAAGGUCAAGAAUGGCAAAGGCAACAGAGGCUCAAAAACAAAUAAAACCGUUUGUGGAAAGCUGGGAAGCAUAAAUGGUAAAUUUGGUUGGACUCAUCGUUGUUUAGCUUUCAUUAGCUGCAAAUCCAACCAAAUCCUGCAACCGACUGCUUAUAAAUUUAGAAUUGCAAAAAAAAAUCAACAAUGACAGAUUAUCAAAUUUAAAAACAAAAUUAUAGAAUAUUUUCCACAUGAAUGGACCAAAAUUGCUUACAAAUCAUCAGGGAACAAAAUUUUCUUGAGACAUUGCCGACAUGUUGUUUGAUCACUUCUAUGAUUACUAAUAAUUUUAGAACUGAAAUUAGCUAAGAUCGAACUAGCUCUUCAUUCUCCACUAAAUUAUUAUAUGAUUAGCUAGAUUAAUGGCACCGGCUAUAGAGUUUAUUCUUGAAUACACGAAACCUAUGCACAUCUCUGACUAAAAUUAAGAUUAUUUUUCAUCUUGUAGGUGACAUUACAAUAAGGGGGGAGUAUUUAUGGAAUAGUGCCACACUUUUAUGCGAAAGUAUAUGUAAUUUGGAAGUUGUUAAUUUUAAAGGAGCACCAAAUGAAAAAUUCUUUGAUUUUUCAAUGGUCUUCAAUACGUUUUUGGUGCUUCAACGUGCACAUAAAUGGGCAACAAAAAGAAAAGCUCUUGUUUGAUUUACUUCUUUAUGACCUUUAUAUAUAUGUUUAUAAGACAUAAAACAAAACUCUUUGGAAAUCUUGUAUAUCUUUUAUUGAAAGAUAAGUAUAGUAUAUAGUCUUUAUUUUUUCUUUAUAUAAAACUUCUUUUGAACUGUAAUAGAAUAAGAAAGUACGUGGAAUAUCAACUUUUAUAUCUUUAUUCAAAAGAAAAAUAUAUUUAGUUUAGUAUUACAAAAAAUAUCCCUAGAAUUUUUUAAAUCCAUGUGCUCUAAUGCUAGUAUUUGAAAAUUCACCGAUUUAAUCCUUGAAUGUUUAUUCUUUAUUUUCUAAUUGGCCCUCAUUCCAAUUCGAGCAAAGUUUUUCUCUCCUCUAGUAAAUCAUAUCGUCCCACAUGAGUACCAAGGUAUGUAUCAAGAACCAUGGGAAAUGUCCAUGACUGAAUUGGUGAAUUUGAAGUUCAUCAUUCUUGAUGAUUUAAUCCUUUCAUAUUUAGCAAUUGUCUGCACACAUUAGCGAGUGUGAGAUUAAUUCAACUAGGGAUGGGAAUGGAAGCAGUUCUGCUUCAUUUUCGUUUUCAACCAAUAAUUAGAUGCUGAUUCACCCUCCAUAUCUAAGCAUUUUUAUUCCCAUAUUAAUAGCCGGGGAUUAAAUACAAAAUUACGUGUAUUUAAUUAGUAAUUAUGUUCUGGAUGACAUAUCCUAUAGAGUAUAAUUUUUCCAAAAGACUAGCUCUUUUUUUUUUUCUUUCUAAAGAUUUUUUUAAUGGAGGCUCCAUAUACUCGUGUUAGUACACAUAAUUUAUGCCAAGAUCACCAUGUCAAUAUAUGCACUCAAAUUGAUUAUCUGUCCAUUGCAAUUAAACCCUUUCCUGAUAUAGCUUUAAUUUUCUUAAAAACUAACACCUUUGAAACAUUUUGUACACCCAUUAAACAAACCUUUUUUUUAAAAAAAAAAAAUUAUGGGAAUAAAACUUGCUUCAAUGCUAGAAGAAAAAAAAAACGAAGGCUUCUACAAUAAAGAUUAGAGUGUAUGUAUCCUAUAUCGACUGCUCCAGCUCAUUAUGCUUCCCCUCGAGAUAUGGUGACAUCUCCCAGCCAGCCAACCCUAACAGCAUUUGCCAUGAUCAUAUGGAAACUUUUUCUGAUAAAAUCAGAUAUGUAUAGCCUUUACAACUUGCAGUUUCUGUUAUGCUUAGAUUCCACUUUGGUACGGUGGACUAUGAAGCUCACAAAUUAUAUACUGUCACUUUUUCCAGGAGAUUUUGCCUUUUUUCUCCAAUGUCCUAAAUUCAGAAUCAAAUUGGUAGAAGUACGAAAAUCCCAUCUGGGAUUCUCUUCAGUAGAUACUAAAAAUCAUUCUCUUCACAUCAAAGCAGUAUUUUACUAUAUUGCCAUUCUUGACUAUGAAAUGGGUAGUUGUUGCUGCAUGAAAUGAACACAAGAAAUCUGUACAUGGGAGUGUAAAGUCAAUGUAUAUGAGCACAGAUUGAAAAGAUCUUAUGGGUACAUAGCUAUACAAAUGUAGCUGUGAACUGGGAUUUUGUCAAUAGAAGUAAAUUCAACUGAUACGCAAUGAUUAGAUUUGAUUAUUCUUUGUGUGUAUAUAUGGAUAUGGAUGGCUGUUUUUAUCAUAUCCAAAUCAAGCGGGACUGAUCGAUUGAUGUGGUCUUUGCCGCUUGCAGAGGCCCUUUUAGUCACCGGUUUUAAUGCAUGGCAUGCAGAUUCAGGAAGACAGGAUUGGGUGGCCCUGCGGUGAUCUAUGCAGACCUUGAUAAAAUUUUGAAGAUUGAAAAAGCGAACAAUGAGCUCAUCAAGAACUUGGAGACAACAGAGUAACGAAGGAUGCUUUGGAUGCCUUUUGGAAUUGAUCAACGACUUGAGAGACAGCAGACUAAUUAUGGAUGCUUGAGAUCCUUUUGAAAUUGGACUAGCAUUCUGAAUUUUUAGUUGCCUUAAUUUGAAGCGUUAAAUACAAAAACCAAACAAAGUUUACUUCGAACUAGUUUUUGAGUUUUGGGAUCCCUUUGUGGACUAGGAGAGAAUUGGUGUAAACUCGAACGUCCGGUGAUCAUACUGGAUCUGAUUAAUUUAAAGUCGAGCAUUAUUAGAUUCUUUUCGAAAGAUAUUUUCAACGUUGUCUUUUUCAUCCACAAAACUUUUACUGUAGAAACUUUAUUUAAGUAGUAUCAAGUUCUUUUUCACUUGACUCAAUAAUCACUGGUGACUAAGCGGGGAUUGACUGCAUGCCAUUAGAGUAAAUAUCAAGUUUGCUUCAAAAGAAUGUGCACAAUCACUACUAUUAAUUUAACCUAGCUUAAUUUUCUUUAUGUAUAACUGGUUGUUUUCUCAUUGCUAAUCUCUAAUUGUUUCUACCAUUUGGCAGUUGGUUACCAUCGCCCUAUCUUUUAUUGUAAACACUUGUUUAUUUCUAUACCAACAACAAAUUUUAUCCGUAGACUAAAUAAAUUGCAUCGACAUAAUUAAGACAUUACAUAUAAGCAUGAGCAUCUUGCAUUGAAAGGCAUUUUCUUCCCUAGUAGCUGACACAAGACUUACAAAGAAAAUUGUACUACCAAAGCUAAAACCAGGUACUUUAUGAUAGCAUUACCUCUGACCAGACUAGACUAUGAAUUUCAGAAAAGACUGCCUAGAUCAUCCUGUCGGAUGAUAUAUACAUAUCUUGAAUAAAAAUUGCUUGCUAGUUCAAUUAGACUGAUUUGGGUUCGGGUUCGAAUUCUGUCUCCAACAGUAAAGAGGGUGUGAGAAAGAGUGAAAGAAUUUUUUUUAAAAAAAGGGCUUAUCAUUAAUUGUGGAAUCAAGUAUUGGAUUAAGAAAAUUUGUCACAAUCUCCAAGAGUUGUAACAUUGCAACUUUCAUACAGAGUAACAAUUUACUAUCAAAGUGGAGUUGUUUAAUGCCCUCAAUAAUAUUGAACAAUAAUACAAACAAAACAAAACAAAAAUUGUAACUAAUGGCCCUGUUGGGCUGGUGCGCCAGCAGAGAUUUUGUAAGACAAUUGUAAGUGACUUCUUUGGCAAAAUAAGAUGGUUAGACUACUAUGUAUUACAAGGACAGCUAGUUAGUUCUUUUUGCGUUCCUUCACCUUUAUUCAAGCGAGAAAGAAAUAUUUCUGUCUUUGAAAGAAAAUUCACGUUCAACGAAAAUUUCUACCUUUUAAUUUUUGAAAAUUCAUUGAAAUUAUUCCUUGCCGGUAACCACUAUUUCAUAGACAUGAUCAAGUCCCCCUGUUAAACACUGUAGCUAGGUCAAGUAGGGCAUUCGAUUUUUACAAGUUUUUAGGGUUUAAUGAAUCUCAAGAGAGAAAACAAAACCACAUUUUUGAACUUUCUUCCCUCUUUUUAGAAUGUAUGGUCCAAAGUUAAGUCGUCCAAACUUUUUGUUGAUGUAGCUGAAUGUCCUUAAAAUGUAGUCGAUGUCUAAUGACUUAGUUCAAGGGAAUAUAAUGCGCCUUCUGCUUUGGAUUAACAUGUGACAAAAUGCAGUGUAUAUAGAGCAAAAGAUCAUGCUACGAUAGCAUUACAUUACCAUUAGGAAACGAUAAUAAGUAUCUUGCAUGUUGACAUCAUACUAAGCAAGCCAAAAAACUUUGUCGCACAUUUUCUAGAUUUAUAGCAGGAUCGGAGUAGCCAAAACUUAAGACAACUCUGUCUCAAAAGGGUGGGGAUCCACAAAAGCACUAUGGUGUCUUGGCGUUCUUGGGCCGCCACCGUGGUGGUGCAAGGGGUCUGGACCCAUCGGAGCCUCCCUCAACUCCCAACCAGCACCAACCUUCAUCCCUUUGCCACCACUUGCCGAUCCAGCCAUGCCCCCACUCUUGAAAACCAUUUCAUGGCCCUUCAUCCCUUCAAGCAACUAUACACGUGUAAAACCAAAAUUACUUGACAUUUCAAUGCAUCAAAAUAAACCAAAGAAAUGUUUAAAAAAAAAAGAGUACCCUUUAAACUUUUUUUUCCUUUUUUUUUUCUUAUAGGGAGAUUUUCUGAUUUUUCACUUAGUUAUUGAUGCAUUUUGCUGCAUAUGGAAAACCACCUUUCUGGAAUGCACUUCAUGCAGAGUUGCUUUGACGUAGAAGCAUCCACUGCCCAUCUUGCAAUCUGCCAAGGCUAAAAUACAUGUUAAAUAAUCAAUGACCAAACUCAAGUACCAAACUUUAUCGAUUAAUCUCACAUCUACAAAGUACAAACACGAAGACUCAAGUACCAGAAGCUUGGAGCUGCAUGACAAAGAGGCAGCACAAGGCAGUGAUGAAGAGCAUGACAGCAGACUUGGAAACAAUAGAAAGGAAGGCCAUUUUGGUAUGGUACUUUUACUAGUGCAUGCAAAUGCAAUCUCUCAGAAAGAAAGUAGAGGAAUGGUGAGUGUGUGAAGCUUAUGAAGCCAAAAAUGGCCAAUUUAUAGAAGUCUUGGAAGGCUAUCAAAUGAUUGCACGAGCAGCCAAUUUUGGAGAGAGAUUACACAACAAUUUAAGACACUCUAAAACUACAACAAUCCAUCUGCAAAGUAGUAGUAGACUAGUAGUAACUGAGAUACGAUACUCAUCUCAUCAUCUUUAUUACUGAUGACAACUUGUGCAGGUGACCCUUGUCAACGGCCAGCUCAUCAAACCAGUAUUCCUUGGGGACGGCGCAGCCUUCGACGAUGUCACUCGCACAUCAGAAAGUUAAUUUAGUGUCCUUGCUAGCAAAGCCUUUAGCAGUUGUUAGCAGCCCCCUUGGCAAACUAGUCUACUAGACUAGUAUUUUCCACAACUACAAGUCCACAAUUAGUAGUACAUGCAUCCAUAGAGUUCUGGCAAAUUAGUCUACUAGACAAGUACGUUCCACAACUACAAAUCCACAAAUUGUACAUUCAUCAAUCAAGUUCUUGCAACUUUACCUAAUUUACGUCUAUUUAAAUGGGUUCAGUACCAUAUAUGCAAUAUAAUGUAUUAUAUGUUGUUGCUCAAAAAAAAAAAAAAAGAAGGUAUUAGGUGUUGUUAGUUAAGAGUUUGGCAAAAAGUAUCUUUAUUACUAGUUUUUACAAACCAAACAUUAUAAAUUAAUUUUCAUAAAUUUAACCUCACAUUUUAUGUCUCUGUCCCCUCUCUUUUUCAAGCCCUAUAGUAUCGAAAUUAGAAUGUAUAGGGAGGGAAAGUUAUUGUAACAAGUGCAUAAAUGUAAAUGCUUGUUUUGUUUUAGGAUGAAUUGAGGUCAAUAUGAAUAUGAAUAAAUUAGUGCUUAAAUAGUUUGGGUAUACUUACAUUACAUGCUUAUUACUCGUUCAUAGAAAAGUAAGUCCGACUAAAUGCGCAUCAAGAAAGGAAAAAAAAUAAGUACAAAUAUAGAUAUUGCACAUAGUUCAGAAAACAAAAACGAUAUAUAUGCACACACGCGCACACACACACGCAUACAUACACCAUGCAUAAACUAUUCAAUCUUCCAUGCAAAUUUUAAUUUAGAAAGUAACCUAGUUUGUACUUUUUAUAGAAAAUAAUAUAAUUUUAAACCGCUUCGAAGAAUACGUGAUGAGGGUAUUUACAUUUAAUAAUUUUCUUGAUUGAGGUCCCAAAUAAUCGUCAAGAAUUUUGUGCUAAAAUAGUUUAGGUAUAAUUGCCGGCUUAUUAUUUACUUGUCAAAAAAUAAGUCCAAGUAAAUUCCGGAUUCAAAAAAAAAAGAAAAAAAAAAAAGACUAAUCCAUACGUGAAAUAAGAGGAACAAAACUAACUCUAAGAUAUGGCGAAUAGCUCAAAAAAAAAAGAAAAAUUGAUGUAAAACAUAAACGAUAUUGUGUACGUUGUCUGGAAUUAUAAAAACUGUAUCCAUGCAAAAAUGUAAUUGAAAUUGCCUGCAUUUCUUAGAAAUCUGUCUAGUUCCUACUUUCUAUAAAACAACAUUUUAAUUCUAAGGGAUAAUUUCAGAAACCUCCCCUGAGGUUUCUGACACUUUCACUGACAUCCCCUGAGGUUCUCAAAAUUUCACUUACCUCCCUUGAUAAAAAAUUGGGCCCCUUUUCUGACGUCAUCAGGGCCAAAAUUACAGAUAUAUCCCAAGUAGUUGGGGUUAAUUACUACCGUUUAGUUACAUAAUGGCAUCUGAUAUGAUUAAUUAAGCUUAACAACAAUAAUAGAAACUUGAUUUAUAUAAUAUUUUUAAAACCCUAAUACAUCUAAAUUUGAUUUUAUUUUUCAAAUUUAUAAGAUUUUUUAUAAAAAAAUGGGAUACGGAUAAGAUAUCCGGUUGGUUCGAUUUGCAUAGGUGCAUAUGAGAAUAUCCGAAUACUCCUGAAACCCGCAAGCGGGAUUCUGUGUUUUUUCUAUUUCAAGGUUAGCUCGCAUGCGGGUUAAUGUUAUAUUUGAGCGCGAGAAGAAAAAAUUGGUAAUUAGGCUCUUUGGGCAUUAUAAGUAAAUAUUUAAAUUAAUGGCAGUUUUAUUACACCAAUAUUAUUGUAUUAUCAUUAUUAUGAUUAUUGUAUUAUUUCUUAUGCAAAUAUAACAUUUAAUUAUCCAAGCAGUUUGAUUUUAUUUUUACAAUUUAUAAAAUUUUUAUCACUUAUAUAAUAUUUUUAAAACCCUAAUACAUCUAAAUUUGAAUCUAAUUUUCUACAAGUCAUACUUAUAAAUGCGAAAUCUAACAAAAAAGUUAAAUACAAUUUUUGCAGGUCAAAUUUAACAAAAUGCGAGCUAUUUGCAAAAUUUUAAAUAUUUGCAACAUUUUUUAAAACAAAAAUUAGAAGCUUUCUGCAAAUAAUUCCCUACCUCUCAAAAAAUAACAAAAUAAAAAAGAUAAGAGCUCGCAUUUGCUUCCUAGAAAUAAUUCCCUAGCUCUUAAAAAAGGAAAAAAAAAAAUUGAGAAGAGCUCGCAUUCGUGGAAUGCGAGCUCAAUAACCAGAGCUCGCAUUCCACGAAUGCGAGCUCUUGUAAGCUCGCAUUUGUGAAAUUCACAAAUGCGAAGACCACCCUGACGGAAAUUAAACCCAAAAUCACCCCUUUUGUAGAAUUUUUUUUAAAAUUCAUCACAAAGUUGGAAAUUUCUCAAUAGAAAUACAACUUGUCUGGAUUCCUUUCACUCUCUGAUAUCAUUACGGUUGCUUUGCGAUUACAGCGGCAAACCUGUUUUUAAUGGAGAAAGAUGUAGGUGAAUUCCAUGAUUCUCCCCUAUGGCUUGAAGAGGCCAUGGUUGCAGCUAAAACUUUUUACUCAGAGCUCUAAUUGUAGCACAGCAAAUGCACUUGUUAUCACUCCAAAUUAGUAGCAAGAAUGUUAAUAGCUUGAAACCUCAGAGGUAGUUAAGUUGCUUUGCUUUAUAUGCUAUUGCUACUGAAACAGCAAACCUUCUGGCCGUUGCAAUUUGCAGCUAGCCGUUGCAAAAUCUGCCAAAUAACUGUUGCAUGGCACAUCUGGUGCAUGCAAAUUUUGUAUUGCCACUUACCCCCCACUUUACUAAUUAGUCCAAAUCAUUUAUUCUUCUUUGAAUCUUCUACUAAUACAACUUCUGCAAAGGGUAGCUAUGGAAUAAAAAUACCUUCUCACACAUGAAAAUAAUAUUUUAAUCUGAUUUGGACUGGAUUGUUACCACAAAAUCAAAAGCAAGGGAGGUAAGUGAAAUUUGAGAACCUCAGGGGAUGUCAGUGAAAGUGUCAGAAACCUCAGGGGAGGUUUCUGAAAUUAUCCCUAAUUCUAAUUCAUCUAGAGUUAAAGACUCAAAAUAGAUAGCAAUUCUGCUCCAAAUCCAUGCAAAAUCUCAGCGAUGACACAUGCGGCUCUUUUUGUUUUCCCCUUUACAUCUUUCUCCUCUGUCACUCGACAAAUGUCUUCUGCACCAUGGCUGAGUUGUAGCCCAACUGGUGCAGAUUGUACGAAUAAAAGUCUUUAUAGAACUAGCAGUUACCGUUACUAUAAAGUACUAAAAUCUCAGUAUAUUCUUGAAUCAGUACGGUGAUACUUUGGGUAGUGACCUUUAUUCUGGGACUAUACCUUUUAUGGUGUGGAAUGACGACCAUGCCCUUCUGAUGAACGUGCUUCUUGAAUCUUGAUGAUGCUGAUUCUUGACAGCAGGAUAUAAUACACAGAGAUGCAGAGCAGCUAGCUAGCUUUAGACUAUAGAUAGAGUUAGCUAUCUACUUGAGGAGAUUCGAUUUAUAUCAUGAUGCCUAUUUGCAGUUACAUGCACAGAGACACUAAAAAGAAAUUUUGAGGUUAGUACAGCUGAGAUUUGCAAUGUGAUAGUGGUCAAGAAGAUGGUCGACAGCGUGCAGUCAUCACUCAUCAGUGAUCAAAAAAUGAUGUCAUUGGAAAAAAAAUUUCUUUUCUUCAAAAAUUAUUUCUACCCAUGUUAUUUUCUUUGUUUGAUUUCGGAUUCUUUUUGAUAAAAUAGAAGUUAAUAUUAUUAAUAAACUAGUUACAAACCAGCCAACACAAUUUACUUGACAAAGAUCGUUGCAUUAAUGGCAGAUAAUACAUAAAACAUGACACGGUUUUAGCUGAUAUGAAAAAUCAUUAGAUUUAACAGAAUUACAAAAUAAAAAAGAUUACACUGUAAAUUACAAAUCAUCAUCAAUUGCACGAACUGCUCUAUAAAUAUCUAUACAUGUCUAUUUCUUUAGAUUUAUUAUCCAACCGAUUCAAGUUCAAAGCUAAUGUUGAAAUCUGACGAAAAGAUCCAAAAAUUCCAAAAUUAACAUAUAAACCAGAAAAAACUCAUAGAAAAAAAAAUGAUUUUUUUACAAUUCAUCUCUCUGAUCUACUUUUGAUUUGCAGAUUACCUGUCAAAAUUUAGUACCUUAUGCUAUCUAAGUGUAGCACUUUUAGUAGACGAAAUUUGUUAAUCACUGUUGAAUGAAACAACCAUACAUAAUACCAUUAUGCCUUGGAGCAAUCUUUUGAAGUCCAGUAGCUCUUGGCUCCCCGAUCUACAACGAUUACCUAUUUAGGUUCAAGAAAAUGUAGAAUAAAGAUUUGUAAUCAAAGUCAUGUAAGUAAUCAAUGUACCACCUCAUCAUGCAGAUGGUGUUGAUCCAAAUGGCAGACUUGGGAAACUACUGGUAAAUCAUGUAUAGCUUGUGGUAUGUAUUAGGACAAUUAAUCAUCAAAUAAUGGCAGUUGAUCAUUCUUUGUUUAGUGGGUAUAAAUAAAAAGAAUGACCAACCAAAAGAAUUGGCAGAUUGUGAUUGGAAAUAAUGCACCAGGUGAUAUUGUCACAUGGUAUACCUAUAUUUUUCUCAUAGAAUCCAUUAAAAGUGGAAUUGAGUUGAUUAGUACAAAAGCAUUUGCCUCAUUAGGCUUUUGGAUUGAUGGUUCAAUACCAUUUAAGCUAUUUUUACAUACACCAACAUGUCGGCAGAUUAUGACUUUCACAAUCAUAAUAAUAAUGUAAUAUGGCUAAGAAUAUGUGAAAACUGAUAUCUCUAAAGAAAUGGAUCAAUGAUCAUAACUCAGGAGUUGGAGUUAUGCACGUUUGGAUGAACAAAUGAAUUUUGAUGCAGAUCAUACAGGGCAAGAACAACUUGCAAAUAAGAUGAUUUGCGGAAAGAAUAUGUAUAAACAAGGCAAUCAACCUGAAAACUAGUAGUGAACAAUAUGAGGGUCAAGGUCCAUCGCCUUCCUUGUUUUCCCAACAAAUAGAUCCUUGGAUUUGAUCAAACCAGGAACAAGACCAAUCAGUGUUGUGAAAGAAAAUUGAGCCACUGCAUCAUGCCUUCCCAGUGAAACAAUAACCUUGAUUGAACGAGGCUUGUAAACGGCCAUCUUGCUUUCCUUUUGUUCAUCCAUCAAUAUCUUUAUGUUUUUUGCAGCAAUCAAAGCAUGCUUUUGAGCUAAAUACCCUUGUUUAAUUUCCUGGUUUACAAGUUCAUCUUAUGUUAGUACUGGAAUUGAUUUCUGAUGAUAUAUCAAAGCUGUUUUAAACUUUGAAUCUACUAUCAGCGGUCAGCACUAAAGAAAUAGUAUAUAAAGUAUGACAUUGAUGAAAGAGAGCCUUUGAUCAUGGCAUGACAGAGGUUAAUAUUGCUAACAAUCCUCCCAUCCUGUGUUUCUAUCCUCCUAUUUAUUGCUUGGAUAAUUAGCAGUUACCCAAGUUCCUCUUUCAUUUUUCUUCAUCCACUCUUACUGUCAGUUGUUACAGAGAAUCCCAGACAGAAAAUUCUGAAUAUCAGAGGAAGUUCAAUGCCCUGAAAUUGCAUAAAGCGCAGUCUGAAUUCCUCCUAUUCCUUUAACCACAGAUACCAAGUUAAAUCUCAGAGGCUCUGCAUUUUCAGAACUACCCAAUUUGAUUAGGAAUUCAGGCCCAUCUUUUUACUAGGAAGGCAGAAAUGCAUAAUCUGGUUCAAACAGCACAAGAUACUUACACCAACUGGAACAAAACACGUAGUUUUACACUUAUGAUUUAUUCAUGAGAGUUGCAGAAGAAACCUGUUACUGAAUUUUGAAAUUGACAUAGUGACUAUAAAUGCACCAGAACAUCCCUAUCAUAUUUGCAUUUGUGUAAUUCGAGGUCCAACUUAAAUGCCCAAUUAAGUGAAAAGAAAUAGCCAUAGUUCCUUGAUCAACCAUGAAAAUGCAAAGAGAAGAAGGAACAAAGAAAAGUUAAUGUGCUACUUAGGACUCACCUUAAUAUCUGUGAUAUCUCCAAUUGCAAAGAUAUUCUUGUGACCCUUGAUUCUCAAGUUCUCAUCAACUUUCAAUCUCCCAAACUAUCCAUGCCAUCCUUCAAGAUGGUUUCUUUUAGCCACGCUGAACCCACUGGUUUUCCAGUGCACAGAAAAUGGCAAUCUGCUUUAAUUGUUUCACGAGAUGAAGUUAUGUAAGCGUUGCUUCCAUCUGAACUCCUAACCAACUCAACAGAUUGCUGCAAUUUCACUUCUACGUUUUUGUUUUUCAACCAGCCUAAAGUCUUGUCAGAAGCUUUGGUCCAAUAAACUCUAGCAACCUAGGUCCAUCAUGCACCAAAACAACCUUCUUUUGGAAAAUCAACAGCAAUUUCUGCAGCAAGUUCAACUCCAGUAGGACCACCUCCGACAACCAAAAUGGAACGAGAAGCUUUAAUCUUUUCAUUUUCUGCCACCAAGAGAAAAUGCAAUUUAAAACAUGACAUCAAGGAUGUGAUACUCUGUCGGAUGGAAGAUUUUCAAGGAAAUUUUAAUUUAAAUUUAACUGUAGUUUUUUUUUUGGUCAAAAAAAAGGACCUGGUCCCACUUCAGACCCCAACUCUUAUUUGGGUUGUUGGAUUAUUUCCCAUUUUUGUUACAAGGGUCGAACUCUAGUGGAUGCCCUAACUAGAGACUACACCAUCAGGUUGGCUACCUUAGAGGGACUAAAUUUAGCUGUAGUUAUUGGACCAAAAACAUCAUGUUUGCUCUACAACCAUCACAGAUUUCUGAUAUCUCUCUGCUGCCAUGGAGCAGGAUCUAGCUUUUAUCACCAGUGACUGGAUGACUAUGAUUAAGCAAAAAUAAUAUCCUAGUGAAAAAUUAGGCCAACAUCUAAUUUAGUUGUGGAUUCUAAUUCUGUGCUUGAGUCAUUAUAAAUCCAGAAAACAACAGAUCAGAAAAUCCUUACAACUCCAAGCAUGCGUUUGCCCUGCAAAACUUUUUGUCAAGGUAAAAUGAAACAUAGCACGUUCACUCCUAGUUCACACACAAAUGUCAUCAAUAGAUAGUACAAUUUGCUUGUCUGUACCUAUACCAUUUCUAUGGACAGUAUAAUUUGCUUGUCUGUAGCUAUACCAUUUCUAUAGAAGUUUAAUCUGCGUGUCUGUUGUUCACUUGUAAAUUUCAGCAAUAGAUAGUAUAAUUUGCUGGUCUGUAGCUAUAGAUAGUAUGACUCACUUCUCUGCAGAUAGUAUAGAUAGGAGCUAUACCAAUGCAAUAAUACCUGCUUGAUACUCGGUAAGUCUCUCAUUUCUAAUCUUGGGAAGGGGAUCAUCAUGGCCAGUAGCAAUGACCAGGUAAUCGUAAGCAACAAGGCGACCCUCUGCAGUUAAGACAUCAGAAUUGGUAAUAUUGAUGGCUUUGGAAACCACAAGACGGCCAUUAGUCAGGUAAUCUUUAUGGUUGAUCACUGAUCUCUCUGCAAAUGAAGGCUCCACCAUUCCUCUUAAGCUUGCCCAUGGGAUCUCAAAGUACUCUUUCCUGUUUAUAAUAUCACAGAAGAGCAAGUUAUAUUGCAACUAUUUUAUCCUGAACAAGUAAGCGAAGCAGAAUUUAUCUCAAGCCACCAAAUAUUAACUGUGCAAGAUGAAGAAUAAAGGCAAAACAGACAAAAGUAGAUAUCAAUAAUGACUACUAAAGAAACUCAUCAUACGAGUGCCAAUUGAAGUGUCUAAAUUCCGGUAAUGAUCAGCAGAGGAAAAAAAUCAGAAUGAGAGCUUACUGAUCAAUGAGGGUGAGAUCUGCAGUGAACUGAAGAGACUUAGCAAUGAGGGAGCCAGCUACUCCACCUCCUAUCACCACCACCCUCCCCCUCCUCUUCCAAUUCCCAUGUCCCCUGCCUUCUCCAUCCAACUCUUCCUCCAACAGUAUCCCUCUUCCUUUUCUGUACUAAUAUCACAAAAACAACAUGAUGUUUAUCUAGUAAACAAGAUUUGCAAUGAAUGACAGAGAGAAGAAAUUGGGCCCAGAAAGAGCUGAUAAACGAGAAGAAACAUUUAUGUGGCAAGGAAAGUGGUUGGUGUUUACUUGGUCGACUUUAAGAAAUUUUUUAGAUAAGACUUUUGAUCGAGAUUUCUUUUAAUAAAACUACAAAUUGUGCCUUGAGAAAUACUACUAAAGAAAGACAUGUACCAACAUGUUUGUCAACUAGUGAGAAGGAUUCUAGGAAUGUUCAUCAGCUGGCGUCCCUUGAAUCAUGGGAUUGAAGAACUUGCCCAUUAAGCUCUAUUUUUUUGCUGCUUCUGUAGUUGACUUUUGCUUCUCGGGUUUAAACAAGUACUAGUUGAUACUACUAUACAUUAAUUUUUGUUCAAGUUGGCCAUGACCGUGUCAAAAGAACUUCAUGUGAAAAUACUAGGUCAACCAUCUUACUUGACUUGAUAAGAACAUUGAUUGAAAAUCAAAGGCAUCGAAUUUGAGUUUUCCUAGAGUUAAAAAAAAAAAAAAGAAAAGAAAAGUCGUCGGGUUAAUGCUUACAUCAUUUUGCUAAGCAGUGAUUUUGAAUCUGCUAGUGAGAAAUAUUGGAAGUUAGAAUGGAAAACCAAUGCAAAAAUAAAAAAGGUGAUGUUUAAGUUGUUUGCAAUUAAAUCAUGGAAAAUGUCAUUUGUAUUUUAUUUUUUGUAAUUUGCACUUUCACUAUUUGUUUUAUCAUAUAAUCUGAUAAAUGAAAAUUAUACGAUUAAAAUGAUAGAAGGAGUGUGAUUAAAUUAUACGAGAAAGGUUUUGAGGUUGUACAGAUUGUUGCCUUCUUUUUUUUUUUUUUUGCCCUUUUGGCUUUCCCUUGGUAAAGUUCCCAUAAGUUGUAUUAAUAAGUUAAAAAAAAAUUUCUAUUAAGUUUUGGGCGGGCCCUUUGUUAACCUCUUUUGAAGCCUUAGUAGAUGUCUUAACGGGGAGCGUUAAGGGAAUUGGGUGGAUCCCUUAAGCUGUGUUCUGUUUGCGCAUGAGCCCAUUUCUCAUUCUCCAAAAUGCAUCCCGCCCAUUUUGCCAAUUUGUGUUGGAUAGGCAUUAUUUGCAAAUAAUUAUGAGAAAUGUUAUUUGUACUCUCAUUUUAUUAUUCACACAUCCACUAUCAUUUUGAUCAUAUAGUUUUUAUUUAUUAGACUAUAUGAUAGAACAAAUGGAGGAAGUGCAAGUAACGAAAAAUAGAAUAUAAAUAACAUUUUCCAUAAUUAUUUGCUUGCAUCACAAACAUAUUUUUUAAUCAGUUUUUUCUGUCAUAUAUAUCAGACAUAUUUUUCAAUCAACUCGUUUUAUCUUUUCAGCUACCUUUUUUUAUUUCAUAUAUAUCACAUCAUAGAAUUAUUACAGUAAUUAUUCCAAAUAAUAGUAAAGUUAGUAACUGCAACAUUAACUGCUAGGCAACUUUGAAAUUCCUUAUUUAACUCCCAGGUCUUGCUCUUUCUCCUUUCUAAAGUUUACAGUCUCCAUCAGAACAACACAAAAUAAAUAUGUUUGUGAAAUUGCCACUUACACAAUACCAUGUCAAAGUGAAGGAGAUUAAUCGACAAUUUGCAAGCCCAUUAAGCCCAUUAAUCGACAACCUGACCAGCCUUGUUGGACAAAGCAAAGUUAGAAGUGGGCUUGCUUGUAAGCUAGCUUUGGUGUUAGUGUUGCCCAGAAGUCUAUCCAGAUCUAUAACUUUUGGACUUAAACCAUUUAAAUAUUGGGCUUUGGAUUGUUGGGUUUUUGGCUUAGUUAGGCAUAUAUUGUGUUUGAAUAGAAAACUAUUUAAAAAAUUACUUGAAAUAAUACUGUAGUACUUUUUAUAAUGUGAUAUGUGAGAUAAAACGAUAGUUGAAAAUAGAAAAAUUAUGUUUGAAAAAUAUAUUCAUGAUAUAAGCAAAAAUUUUUUAAAAAUAAGAUGAUAUCCAAACAAACCCCUGUGGUUGUUUGGCUAAGAAUUUAUUUGUCUUUUAAUCCAUCUUAAUUUAUUUGUCCAUGCAUGAGGAAGAAAAAACAAAAGAAGUGUCAUUAAUACAUAGAUUCAACAUUUGGGCAAUUACAAGGAAAAGCUAAAGGGAAAUGUGAAAGAAAAAAACCCUUUAUCACAUUAAAAUACAGCUUCAAGGUGAAGACUUUUCAGGUAGAAAAAUCAUAGGUUAUAAUGAAAUUUCACUUUAUUUUCUUCAUUAUUUUGAAGGUGGGGGCUGCGUGGACCUAAUAGGUGAGCAUAUCAAUUUCAGAGCCUUCAAGAGAUUUGAAAAACACCUAAUUCUUUAACUUACAGCAACAAAUUAUGGUAUGAAAUGGUCCACUAGGCCACCCAUAAUUAUGAAUGGUAUGUUGGUUCUGUUUAGAAAUCCAUAAGUCCAAUGAUUAUAAUUUACAACUAAGAGAACAAAAAAAAGGAGGCAUAGAAACAUUAAACUCUGAACCGUCGUGUUAGCAAUUUUAAAAUUUGUAGUUCGACUCUCAAACUCUUUCUUUUUUUCUUGUGGUUGAAAGUUUUUCCCGAAUAAUCAUAUUUUGUGACUUUUUAUGCUCAUUGCUGGUCCUACAUGGUGUUAGCCAGGUUACAAUGACAUUGAGAUCAAUUUAAGCCAUGGUGAAAUUGCAUGUCUAUUCAUUUUUAUGAUAAAAACUCGUCAAAAAGUGUUUGAUAAUUUUUUAAUGCUUUUCUGUUACUUUUUUGUUUGAAGUAUUAUUUAAUCAAAUUUUUGAAUAUAGAAAAGUUAUUUUGCCACUAAAACUUUUACCCCCCCCCCCCUCCCCCCACCCCACAAAAAACAACUUUUUUUCAAAAUAUACAUAUAAAUUUCCAGAAUUGUAAUAGUAAGCAAUGAUGAUCUUGAACAGUGCUAUUUUAAGAAUGAAGCCAAUAAACUAAACAUUCACAGUCACAUGUACUCUUGUACUUUGAGAUAAAUGCAUGUGGCCAUCUUCAAGCAAAAACGAAGAGAAGAAACAAGAAAAUUCCAAGAAACUCGAUCAUGCGGCUUUAAAUUUAUUCAAUAACCUAAGCUGGCAGGUAAAGGACCACUCUGUUUUUUUAUACUAUCAAACAAGAUUUUGUGCCGUGAAAUAAAUAGAACAUGUUCGGACCCAAAAAAAUAUUCAUAAAUAAAGCAAAAGAUUAGGUCCUCAGGAGGGUGGACUAUCUUUAAAACUCUUCUAAAAGAGGGAGUCUGAAAAUCUAUUUUGUGGCAACAAUUUGACAUUUUCUCAUGACUGGUAAUUACAAUUUCUUGAAACCUUUUCAGCGGGAAGAACUGCACUAUACCUCAUGGUAUAAUUACAGACCAAAUAUAGGACAAGACAUUGGAGAAAACCAGCAAAAAAAAAAAAAGGAAAUUGAAGGAAUUUUAAACUUAAGCCACAACAAUAUUGUAUUCCUCAAUAAUUACAAUAGAUUAAAUAACACGAUCCUUUAUUGAAAGAAUUAAGGGCUACAAACUGAAAAAUAUGUUAUCUUGGUAGAUGUGCUGAUCAGAUUUAGGGCACAAACCCUAUACAGGUUAGGAGAAAGAGAAGGCAAUGGAUAACUGAUUUUCACAUUAAUCCUGUAGAAUUUACACACUUCUUCCAGUUAAAUUCCCAUUAGAAUUUGUGGGUGGAAAUGUAUCCCACGAAAAAUGUGGUCGAUGGCCAUAGACUAGUAAUAAUGUUGAAAUGUUUGCCUUGAUGCAUGGAAAGCGUAGUGAAGCUCAUUACAGAACUGCAGAUGAUCUUUAAAAGGUUAAAAAAAAAAAAGAACUGCAGAUGAGAAAAAAAAUUAUAAAGACCUGUGAAAUAAACCAUACUUGAGAAAUUAGUUACAGUUUCAUACUUGGUUUAUCAAAUGAUGACUCCUGUGUGCAAAUGAUCUUUCAUGAUAGACUAUAUACUGUUACCAUCCAUUUGUCAAAAGUAACGUUUAUAAAGAUUUUCUGUUUCAUGCAUACAUGUUACCGUUAAUAAUCUUCUGGUUACUUUCUCAAUGUCAAGGUGUUAAGAAGUCAUAAUUUUAAUAGGACAGUUAACGAAACCAUGAUUAAGCAAUAUUGUUUUCUUAAUAAAUAUGGUUAACCCACCCCCCACCUAAUGAUACUCCUUUAUUUUUGUUUUUUUGGGGGGGGGGGGGGGGUUUACUAACUCUAGCUAGCAUCAUAAUCAGAAUCAAGAACACAUUCAAAAUGAAGAAAAGUGGUCCAUAGCCAUAGAGCUAGGGUAAACCAAAAGGUGAUUUCCCAUUUUACCUCAUUGGCAAGUGUGAUAGACAAGUGGAAGAAAGUGAAUAUUUGGGUGACAAGACAAAGAUUAAAUCAAUGGUGGAAUCAAUGCCAAAAGUAAACCAAUAAACUUGAUUCCCAAAAUAUUUAUCAUGUGAUUAAAAUUAAACUAUAUCAAUUACAUGUUCAUCCAACAGUACUUACUUGAUACUCCCAUGCUGUGCUUAAUUAUAUAUAGCUCAACAUUAAUUACAUGACCAGCUAGGCAGCAAUCCAUGUAACCAUCUUUUAUAGUAGUACUUUUCUACAAUUUUGGCUUCGCAUAAAGUACUCAAAAUCUCAGUUGAUUGUGGUCUUGAAGCCAACAGGAACACUAGUACAAACCCAUGUAGAUGUUUAUAUUUGCUGUGUAGAAUCUUCAUGUGAGCAUGAGAAUGAAGAAUUCAGAAUGAGAAUCACAGCCGACUACUGAGACAAAACUACAGUAAUUUAUCGGCCUCUUGGAGCUUGGAAUUUAGAGGCAAAUGAGAAUCCCCGACCUCCCUCCCCAUGCAGUCGGCUAUAUCAAACAAAAACAGACAAUUUGCAGUGGUAGUUUAACAUCUGCCAUUGUCAAAUGACAAUUUUACUACUAAUAGCAGCAUGAACAAUUUUUUGUCAAUUAAAGUUUACGCGGUACUGAUAUUUAAAGUGAGGAGAAUUGACAUGCAUGCUGUCCUUUUUUUGACAUGUCUAAAUCUAACGUGAUUAGUAUAUUGAGAUUUGAGGGUUAUUGCAGAUUUUAUUUUGAUACCUAAUUUUUUUUUUUUAAAAAAAAAGAGAGAGGAAAGAAUAAACAGUGGUGUGAAUAAGUAGCGUUUUGUACUCAUGAACUGAAAUAGCAAAUUUCGUGUAAUUUUCUUUAACAUUUUGCAAUCAUGAACUUGUGUAGUUCCAUAAGAAAUACUUAAUAGUCCUUGAUGGCUUUGAAGUUUCAAUACAUGAAAACUUUUUUGUUCUGAAAAACUUAUGUUUUUGGAGUUGUUUUUGAAAUACAUAUUUACUGUAACAUUUGGAAUGUGAAAAAUAAUUUUUCAAAAACAGAUCCAAAAACAAGGAAUUCAAACAGACCUUUAGUUACUUGUAAUAUCAUGUCAUACCACUGCACUGCACUUUUGUCACAUGAAAACACCUAGGGAAUAUCAGCCAUGUUAAAGGGGUCAAUGUUGUAACUUUGUAAGUACCCCUCCAAGAGCACCUUCCAUCCUAUGUAAUAUUAUUUUGUAAUUGAGGGGACUUGAAUGGCGUUCCCUUUAAUUUAUGUGUUGGCAAUUUUAUCAUGUCUUCUUUUGUGUCAGGUAGCUCCUUAGCCCCUCCUUUGACGUCUCCUUAGUAUUAUGAUUUCUUUUAUCAUGACUUAGUACCUUUGCUUAGGACAACAAGAUUGGGACUUGGGGGAACUAUUUUGCUUGCUAUCAAUCCUCUGGCUUCCUAAAGUAGGGCAAUUCUAUGGUCCCUUUAGCAGCUCACUCGCACAAGAGAAAAUCUUCCUAAGCUUUUAGAAACUCAAUGAACAUUGGGUAGAAUAUUCAUUCAGGAUUAUUUUCAGGUGAUGUAGAUAGUAUAACAUCAAGAAUUACUUCCUCAUGUAUGUUCAUUUUCACUUCAAAUUUUACAAUCACAAAAUGAAAAGCUUUAUUUAAUCCUCCUCUCUUUAAUUUACUCACAGGCACCGUUGUGGUUAUUAUUUCAUGACAAAGAAAGGACCACCAUUUUUGGUAGGGGUGAUGUGCCUUAAAUCCCCUUUAUGGGUUUUGGGAAUAAAUGUCUGCAUGGUACCACACUAUCUCUGGUAAGGGGUGAAAUAUUUCUGUGGGUUUUAAAAAAAUUGCAAUACGUUUCUCAAUCACUCUUAUAUCAUAUAAAAAAAUACCAGUAAAAGUACAGUAAAAAUUUUCAAAAACACUUCAAAAAUAAUCAUCCAAACCGAAGUAACGUUUUGAGGUCACAAGAAAAUCGCUUGCUCUUUCGUUUUUUUUUCCCAAUGAAGUGUGAAAUUUGAAGAGAUAAUUAGCAACUCCGUUUUUUUAAAUUGGAUUGGAUUGAUUACUUUUAUACAAAAUAAUCUUGAAAAACUACUACUAUUCCCAAUUAAAUAGUAUAUCAAAACACAUUUCUUUUAAAUUUGUAGUUGCAUCAAGGCCACUCAAUGGGCACGUGCAUGGGCGCAGUGCUAGCCAGGGAGCAUAAUGCAUGCAAGCACAUGGUAAUCAAAAUUAUAUGCACCCCUAAUUAAACCCCUACCCCUAUUAAUACACCCUACUACGAUCCUUCGUACAUCACAAAAUCUAAUCAUUGAGAAAUUGUACUGGAUUAGGUAGCUAAAAUAUUUUGGUCAAAACAAAAAAAAAAUUCUGUGAAAUUGGUGGUUGGGAUUAAAGUUAGUAGGACCCAUAUUUUGUGGUCAACGGUGGUGAUGAAGCUGCAUCUCACCAUCAUGAGUUGUUAAGGGGUCAUCUUUAUUUGAUGGCUAUGCGCUAGCGCGUAGAGUAUUUAAUUUUGGCUGAAAAACCAGCUGGCUGUGUCGGCGGAAGGUAUGCAGUCCCAUGAGCUCGGCAGGCUUCAUUCUUCAAUGACGUUAUGGAUAAUUUCAGAAACCUCUCCCAAUAUUUUUGAUAAUUUUAAUUAGCAUUCUUAAACUGAGAAAAAAUUACGUAUCUCCCAUAUUUUCAACUUUUUGUAACACUGUAAAUCCAUUUUUAAAUGUAUUUUUUAAAAAAAACUCCUUUUUGGAUAGAGAAUAUAUUUUCAUUCUAAUAUUCCACUUUUCUUGUGUACCUUUUUAUUUUCAUAAAAAAUCUCGUUAAUCUCUUAAACUUUUAAAAACUUGGCCGAUUUGGUUUUGUAGUUGAAAAUUAUAGGAUGUUAACAGUAUUGAAGGACCUUUUAAUAGUUUUCAUGUCAUCAGUCGGUACAAUAAACAUAAACUUUAGAAAUUCACAAACACUUUUCAGCAAAAGAAUAAUUUCUUUUUGGUAUUUAAAAGCAUCUUAAAUGAGUUUCUAAAAAUAAUAUUAAACGUGCUUUUUUUUUCUAGUUUUCAUAAAUUCUAACAAUUUGAAAAACUUCCCAAAAAUUGCACAUUCACAUAAUAAAUUAUUUAUACCUUAAACCCUAGUGUUAUAUUAUAUCCCACUAAAAUUACACAUUCACAUAAUUUGUCUAUUGAUUUCAAGCUUUUCUUAACAUAUUUUUAAUUUUGAAAAAAAAUGACAACAAAAGGUACUUUUGGAAUGACAACAUCUUCUCUAUCCAAAAAUGAGUUUUUUUAAUAAUAUAUUUGAAAUGGAUCGAUAAUGUUACAAAAGUCAAAAGUAAGGGAAACAAAUGAUAUUUUUCAAAUUUCAGUUUUACUAAGUGAAAGUAUUAAAAACCUCAAGGGAGGUUUCUAAAAUUAUCCCAUGAAGUUAAGUUGCUAAUUUCAUCAUCAAUUCUUGAUAAUUGUAUACUGUGCCACUAUAAAUUUUGGUCAAAUGACGGAAAAGUAGAAUUAAGACAAUACAAAAUGGACUUAAAUAACUCUGUCUUGAAUUCAAUUCUCCAAGAAUAUGUUUCCAAGAAUUUGUGAAAUCUACUCCACAGUUGUUAGACUAAAAUUAGACUUCGGUUAAAUUUUUUUUUUCUUGUCAAUCAUCAUCCCUACUCCUACUUCUAUUUUAUCUUAAUCUAACUACAAAAAAAUUCAACUGGAUCUAUGGGGGACCGAUGGGGACAGAAUCGCCACCGGUCGAUUAAAUGAAAUGGCUCAUUUGUACUAAUGGAUGAGUCAAAGGAGUCAAGAAUGAAUCAAAUGUUCCAUAGAAAUUGUUGAAAGUCAAGCAGUAAAACUAAUUGACUCAUUUUCAUUAGCAAAAGGUCGUAACUCAGGUGGUUGUUUGAAUUAUAGGGUCUGUUUGGAACCUGAGUUUUUUGAGAGUUUGUUUAAAACUUUACUGUAGUGCACUGUAGAAAUUUUUGAAAAAAUUUUGUAAAAGUUUUUGAAAGGUGAAAAUUUUUUUUGUAAAAGUUUUUGUAAGGUAAAAAUUUUUGUAGAAGUUUUUUUAAGGUGAAAAUUUUUCCCUUUUCUUUUUUCUUUUUCUUUCUUUCCUUUUUCUUUUUUUCCUCUCUUUCUUCUUCUUCUUCUUCCUUCCCUCUCCCGCCACCCCUCUCCUCCCUUUCCCCUUCUCCUCUCCUCUGCCUUUCCCCUCCCUUUGCAUGCCAACCCUCCCCCGCUGCCCCUUCCCUCGCUGCUCCGCCACCCCCUCCCCUUUUCCCCCUCCCCUCUGCACGCCACCCUUCCCCCGCUGCCCCGCCUUCCCCUCCCCUCUGCACGCAACCCCUUCCCUCGCUACCCCGCCACCUCCUCUGCCCUGCCAGCCCCUCCCCCACUGCCCCUUCCCCCCUCUCCCUCCCCUUGUUUCUUGGAGCGCCGACCACCACCUCUGGCGCCUCUUAGACCAGAAACGCAGGUGCACCAGAGCGCCAGCGCCCCCGACCUCCUCCGCACGCGCAUUAGCCAGCCCAGCUCCUGGUGCGCCUUCUCCACAGCGCGACCACAGCGCACUCCAGUCGUUCGACCUCCAUGCCCCUGCUUGGUUCUGUUCUUUUUUUUUUUUUUUUUUUUUUUGCUUUUCUCCUCUCCCCCCCUGAGACUGAGACACCUCCUCUUCCUCCUCCUCCUCCCCCUAUUCCACUUCCACUUCUAAUUCCAGUUCCUCCCGCCGCUGCAAUUCCUUCCAUGCCCGCCAUGGAAAUAACGGAUCCCCCCAACCCUAACUCUACUUUGGGUGAUUUGUAAAAAAAAUAAAUAAAUAAAUAAAGAAAGACAGUCGGCCCAACCCCCGACAUAAAUGACAGCGUUACUCCUCUUUCUGCAGAGGAGAGGGGGUGAGGGUGAGGGAUAGAAAAAAAUAUUUUUGAGGUGACCGGCGCCGGUACAGGUGGUGGAGGUGGUGGCUGGCAUGGUGGGUUGGAUGAGGGAGGAAAAAGAAGAAAAGUUUUUGGAAAAUUUUUUGUGUAUAGAUUUUUUAAGUGGGCAGGGAAAAAACUUUAAGAAGUUUUUUGGGGUUCCUGUAGCAAAAGUUAUUAAAAAAUUAGUAGGUAAAAAACUUGGUCAAAAAACUCACUUCCAAACAGGCCCAUAGUUUUCUACCAAAAAUAUUUUUUUAGACUUUUCGUGAACAUAUUUCUUAAUCAAAAUUUAUUUUACAUAUAUUAAAUUGUUACAAUAUAUUUUUUUCUUCAAAAACUCCAAAAAUAACAAUUCAAAUGAGUCUCAUGCAGUGAAAUUGCCGUUGUAAAUUUGUGAACCCCCUAAUAAUCGAAUAGACUGUAAUUGACAUUUCAAAACCGGUGAUAUAAAUCUAAACUUUUCUAUUUUGAAUUUUGCACAUUGAAUGCAGUAUUGACUUGUACCAUAAUAUUAAAUCUUAUAUAAAACAUGAAUUUAGAAUAAAGAGGUGCAGAUAUGACUCUUCACAUCCGAAACGUAUAUGUGAUGCACAAGCUGAUAUCAUGCAUCAGUUACAUGACAUCUUUUUGUAUUACGGAUGUUUAUAUUCAAUAACUUGAUUUAGGAACACUAUAGAUAUAAUUAAAAAGAGCAAUUUUCACCCUAACAUGUUCAAAGUCUAAAAAUUAGUUGAAUAGCAUGUUCCAAAUCGGGUUAAUUAUUAAUCUUCCUUCGUAGACAAGAUUAAUGCUCCUACCCACAACCAUUUCUAGCUAAGGGAUGCUUCUCCUCAAGAAUAUACUUUUCCCUUCUAGGAAAAUAGUAACAGCAGUGUAGUACACUAGUAUUAAAUAGCUGCAGUUACUGCACAGAAAUCAGAAAGGCAAGGAAGGAAGGAAGAGAAGAAGACAAUGGGAGUGAGUGAGAGACAGAAUUUGGUUGGAAGUUGUAACUAAACCUACCUCUCUUGCUAUCUCUCCCCAACCAUGAUUAGCCACUAAACCAUAUUAUUAUUAAUUUACUUUUUCUCUUUACACAACUUCCCAAAUUUAAAAAAUUAGUGCUUUCUUUUUUCCAAUUAAAAUAGUGCAAAUGAUGUCCCGUCUCACUUGCACUUUCACAAAAAAUUUGGAAAGAGCACCUGUAGGAACUGUUUGUUUAGAUCAGAAAACAGACCUUAAACAGCCAACAACAGCCCAAGAAGGAGAGAAACAAGCACUUCACGUACACAGACAGACACUAGUUUGUAUAGCAUUCAUAGAAGUGAAAAGCCCAGAAAGCAUUUUCGGUGUUGAGUAGAUAAUCAGGCUUGGUAAUGCAUUUUCCCAGGUGGGUUCUUUUUGGUUUGUUUGAAUUUGAUGUUGAAAUGGGUCAAAGAAGGUGGAAAAGAUCCAAGGAUUUUAUCUUUUUGUAGUGUUUAUUGGGUUUCUUGAGUGUGUAAAUUUGGGGUGUUUUUAGUUGGAGAAAGAUUGUUUUUUGAGUGGAUUUGGGAGGUUUGAGAAUGGAGUCAAGAAUGGAUCAGUAUGAGAUCAUGGAGCAGAUUGGCAGAGGGGCUUUUGGAGCAGCCAUUUUAGUCAAUCAUAAGCUGGAGAGAAAGAGGUAGGUGCAAUGUGGUUGUUGUCAAUUUAUUUCUAUAUAUUCUGUCAUGUAGAUUGAUUUUUGGAGUAUCUGUUCAGAAUCUUUUGUUGGAUUGUGUCGAUAUUCAUUUUAGGUAUGUAUUGAAGAAGAUUCGAUUAGCUCGACAAACUGAGCGUUGCAGAAGAUCUGCUCAUCAAGAGGUACACUUCUUGGUGUGAGGGGGGAGGGGGGGGGUGUGAAGAGAAAUGAAAAUGAUUGAAUUUUUUUUUUUUUGGCGAAACAAUUGAUUAUUGCAAUUUGGUUGAAUUUGGAACGCUCUUCGCGUAUUUAUUUCCGUUUGCUCCAAACUUUUAAGUUUUGCGCCCUCUCUAGUUGCGUGUAUCUGCUGGUUAAUAUGUGGUUAAGGUGAGGUGAAAUUGAUAAUCGACAUUUUGCCAAUUUGGACAUGCAGAUGGCUUUAAUUUCUAGAAUUCAGCACCCAUAUAUUGUUGAAUUCAAGGAGGCAUGGGUGGAGAAGGUGAGAUGAAUCAUAAAAUCUAUACUUGGUCAUUGGUUAUUGUUGCUAGUACUUUAUCAGCUGUUUUUGAUGCAAUGUUUGUUCAUAAUGUAGGGUUGUUAUGUUUGCAUAGUUACUGGCUACUGUGAAGGUGGUGACAUGUAAGUUUUAUACUGAAAAUGAAUCCUAUAUCGGUUUUAGUGUUCACGUCAUUUCUGAUAUUGACAGUUAAAUUCUCUUUAUGCAUACCUCUUUAUCAGGGCUGAACUCAUGAAGAAAUCAAAUGGGCAAUACUUCCCGGAAGAGGUAUUCCUUUCACUUUUUUAGUUGGGAAAAUGAUUUUUGUUGAAUCACAACACAUAAAGGGGUGGUGCUUUAUUGAGUUAUGUGCAACAUAUUUCAAUAUUCUUUAAGAAGAUAAGUUUUAACUUAGAAUUUCAGUAACUUUGAGAUAUGCUUGGUAAUUAUAUCUAUGUUAUCUGACUACUUCUGACAAUGUGGAUCAUGCAGAAACUAUUGAAGUGGUUUACUCAACUACUGUUGGCAGUGGAAUAUCUGCACUCCAACUUUGUUCUGCAUCGAGACCUUAAAGUAUAUACCCCAGUACCAGUUGAAAUUUUGGGCUUUUAGGAAUUUAUGUUGAGAUUAUGACUUAUUUCUGCACCUCUUCUUGCAGUGCUCUAACAUUUUUCUCACAAAAGAUCAAGAUGUUCGUCUUGGUGAGUUCAGCUUUGUCAAUUGAAUAUUGAAUGACAUGCUCAAUUUGUAUAAACCUUUAUACUGAUUUUUAUAUUGGAAACUGUCAUUCUUGUCCAGGGGAUUUUGGACUUGCUAAAACUUUGAAGGCUGAUGACUUGGCUUCUUCAGUAUGUAUCUCUCUUUGUAUCUAUUGAUUGUGUUUUUAGGAAUCAACCUUUUUUUACUAUCAUGUUUAGGAUACCUGCUAUAAUUUGAAGAGACAAAUAAUGCACUUUUCUACAAGGAUUUUCCUUUCAAGAGAAAUGAUCUAAGUAUCGUUUUACUUUAGUUGUCUUACAAUGAGUUCUUGGUUAAACUUAAAUGACUUAUGAGCAUGUAGCAGGGAUUUGGUUAGAGAAUUUCAGCCUUGGCUCAUUGUGGCUAAUCUGAAUUCAUCUGGCACUUUCUAAUGAAUUAAGCUAUAACUGCUAUAUUUCAACUGCUUUCUCUGUGAUUAAGUGUCAAAGAUGUUUUACCAAUUGCAUGUUUCUUUCUACCCAGGUAGUUGGGACUCCCAAUUACAUGUGCCCUGAACUUCUUGCUGAUAUUCCAUAUGGUUUCAAAUCCGCGAUAUUUGGUCGCUAGGUUGGUACAUAAUUUUGCUCUAUCUUUCUCCUUGCAAUGUAGCAUUUGUAUUUAACUCAAUGCAAAAAGCUAUGUAUUUCUUCCUGUGACUUGUUAUUAGAUGCAAUUAUCAUCAAAAAUUCUGACACUAGUGGCGUUAUUAGUACUGCUCUUUUUAUUGGUGACUUGAUUGGUAAUCAAGCACUAGAGUCGAAGAAAUGAAGCAUAUACUUUCUCCUUGCCAUUUGAGUUUCACUUUCUAUGUAUAUUAUGAAAAGCAUAUUAUCACAUAUAGAGAUGUGCAUGGUUAUAGAUUUUCCAAAUUUGCUUUACUUCCCAAUGGAGUGGAUUGAAUUAGACAGAACUAGUCAAGUUAAUUUUUUGGUUUACUUUUGAGUAAGUCUUAGCAUUUUCGCUAGUUCUUUAAGGUAUUCAGUCGAGGAGAUGGUUAUUCACUUGAGGCAAAAAGAAAAAUAUCUAAGGCUUUUAUAUUUAUUUUAUUUUUACAUAGUUUGAGUUAUUCUGGAAAGAAAUAGUAACAUCUUUUGUUGGAUUCACAAUAUGUGUACCCGAGUUUUGAAGUUUUACUUGGUUCUGAGUUUUUCAAUUAGUAUUUGGCUAACUUUUGUCAACUCUGAACAUUUACUUUGUUAAGUAGCUGUCAUCAGACUCGACAUCUAGCAUGUACUUCUUGUUAUCUCUUUCUACAAAAUUUUUUCCUCUCUUUUUAGUCUUGAAAUUGUUAUUGUUCUUUUUGGAACAGGUUGUUGUAUGUAUGAAAUGGCUGCUCACCGGCCUGCAUUUAAAGCUUUUGUAAGACAUCCAGCCUUCUUUUACUGAUAAUCCUCUUUAUUUAUUUUUUUAUUUUUUUAAAAGCAUUUCUUUUUGCAGUUCAAUCCUGCCAUUGAUCAAUCUACUGCGAAUUACAGUUGGAUCAUAAUAGCGACUAAUUAUGAAUUAAUAGUUCUGAAUCUUAUUGGAUGAUGGAGGGAUGGAAUAGAAAAUUCUACUAGUAGAAAUAACAUUUGAUCUUGCAUAAAACCAAUGAUAUACAGCUUUUCUUAGGUGUCCAUGCAGCAUCUUGUUUUUUGUUACAAUCAGGUGAACUGGUUUUUGGAUCCUAUAGUGCUUAAUCAAUAUUAAGGUGAUAAGUACUCCAUAUUAAUGGCAUAAUCCUGCAUCUGCCGUCUUAUGUAACUCUAAAAGCUUGAAUCUUCUUUCCUGAAUAGAUUUCUGACCUCCAUUUCCAAAAUAAUCUUUUGUUCAUUGCUAUCUUUAUUGCUUCCUCUGAUUGUUGCUGCCACUUUCCUUCCCAUUCUUUUUCCACAACCUUCCUGCCGACUCUUCUGGUCUUCUACUAUUCCACUGCUUCAACCCUCUCCAGUUGCCACUCUUAGUUUGACCAUUCUCUGCCUUCUCACCACUCCCAAGAAGAUUCUCUUCACAUCUGCCAGCUGUGAUCAAUGGAGCUACCCAAUGUUGCAGGGGAUGAUUACUACCUGUGGAACUGGUUUCAACUUCAAUAACUCUCACAUUAAGCCAGUAGGAUCAACUUGUGAAGACUUAAACCUGCUGUAGGUUAUUUCUGCCAUAGCAUCUGUUACUUUGAAGUCCCAAUUCAGUUAGAUUUCUUAAAAUAGUCAGAAGUUGUUCCAUGGAAUCAGAAUCCUGAUGUAGAUGGGUCGCAACGUCUUGAAUCCUCUGACCAGAUGGAAGCUCCAUAUUACCAUAGUAAAGCUGUAGUAACUCUUAUCUUAUCUGAAUUUGUGAUUUGAUGGUAUUGAAACAAAGGUGCCCCAGCCUUUUGGUCAUGUUCUCCUCAUUUAAACUGGCGAAGGCAACCCGCCCUGAAUACGAUAAGAACAAUGAGCUGAAGAUAUGCAACCCCAAAUAUGGUUAAAAUGUCCUGAGCCAUUUCGUAUAAAGUUCAAGAACCUAGGGUCCAUAUCAUGAUCAAUCAAAAAUGCUUCCUUCUAGACAGCUUAACUCCAUCAAGCCUGUAGAGUAGUAGUGAAGAAGUAGACUAGAAAUCACCUUUUUUGGUUGUUGACCAAGGAAAAGCAUGGGACUUGUUGGGCUGGCGCUGUUUUUCUUAUCUUAUGAUAUUUUGAAAUAGGUUCUCAAAAGCCCAAUUCCGAUGGUUAUGGUUACAGCAACAGUUAACCUUCUGGGUCUUGACUAGGAAACUGGCUCCACGAAGAUGCUUCUUUGGUGUUCUUCCAGCAGAUGAAAAUAAGAACCAACUAGCCAACCAGAAAAAAUGGCUUCCGUAUGUGCAGUGAGCAGGACAUUUUUUGUUUUAAACAGAUGCAGGUCUGUCUUUAUACCAAUGUAGAGGUUUGUAUGAAGUCUUAUGCACCACAAAGACUUAAGCUUCUGCAGAUGUAGUGGAUUUCUGUUUUCUUCUUCACUGGAAAAAAAAUUGUUGAACUUUAUUGCUGUUGCCAUGGGAUGAAGGUUGUGCAGGAUAGGAAAUGGUGGUCUGAUGUUGCGAAUGUCCUUUGUAGCGUAACCAGACAUUAGCGAUAUUGGGUAGAUCUUUGUCAAUUUGGUGCCAACCACAGAUUAUUUGAAAGUUGGACAUUACCUCAUUCUAUUGUACAAAGCUUGGGGAGGUCAUACUAAACUGAGACACUUUGGUGACUUCCUUUAGUUCCUCGUUGAUGUAUUUGUCACUCUCUGUUAUCCAAUCCGUCAAUAAAAUGAGCUUCUUGUGUGAUAAUAGCCCUAGAACUAUUAUCCAAUUAAUUCAAUUGAAACCUUUUCAGCGGUUAUGUAUUGGCUGGUUCAUGUGAAACUUUGCAUACCAGAGUUUUUCUCAUUGAAAGUUGCCAUAUCCUUUUGUACUUGGACUGUGCUAAUUGACUGCUACAUGAAACUUCAACUGUUCAUUUGCUAUUUAUUGUAAUCUUAUCAACCAUUUCUCUGUUUGACGAGGUCAUCAACGAUUCCUUUGCCCAGAUGUUUUAAGAUGUUAACACUCCUUAUAGGAUCAGCCUAAAUUUAAAUUUCAUUGUAUCAUUUUCUUCUUAAUUUAUGAGACUUUUGGAAGAUAAAGGAUGUACUUUUAAAAGAGGACUUUUGCUGUCUGCAUUUUGUUCUUUCUUCUUGUCUUUUAAGUAAGUAAACUGGCUUUUUGUGCCGCUUUCCUACUGGACAUAACUUAAGAAUUAAUAACUCGACGUUAGCGCAAAAAAUUGCAAUUUCCUCAUUUUAAUGCUUUUUCUGUGUGCAUGGAUUCCUUGUUGAUCUUUUUCUGGCAUGAUGCUGUGUUUCAGGACAUGGCUGGAUUGAUUAGUAAGAUCAACAGAUCAUCAAUAGGUCCUUUGCCUUCUUGUUACUCUCCAUCCUUGUAAGUUGGCUUCUGCUGUUUACUCAAAUAUCAAUAUUGUUGUGAACAUCUUAAAACCCAUACUCCUUAAUGAAUCACUUAGUCAUUUAUCUAUAUUGGAAUCCCCUCAGCAUAUGUGGGCAUGUGACCGAGCAGUCAUGCAGUCACUUAUGUAUAGUUGCAUACAUUUUUCAUAUUCAUUGAUAUUUGUUACGCUUUGUUUGCUUUUAUGAGCAAGUAUUUGCACGUCCAGGUCCCUGGGUGGUUUUCCUAGGAAGCUAUUACAUUCAUUGUCUAGUAUAUUGUUUGUGGAUGCAAGUUGAUGUUUGUUCAUAAUUGCUCUACUCUUGAUGUAAAUAAAUUCCUGAACAGCCCGUGAUGUCUGAACAGCAUCACAGUUUGUUUUUGUCUGAACAGUAUGAACUGGAAAGAGCUUUUCUGUGUCACAGUUCUCUGUAGAUGAGAUGAUAUUUUCAUCUUCUCAGCUUCCCUGAAAAUUUUAUCUCAAUCUUAUUUUUAUUUGGUGUAUUAUGUUGCAUUGUGUUGCAAUACUUGCUCAUGCCUUGUUUCACAGAGAAUAACAUUUCCUGUUUACUUCUCAGGAAAACACUUAUCAAGGGCAUGCUAAGAAAGAAUCCUGAACAUCGGCCAAGUGUAAUCUUCUAUAGAAGACAAUUUUGAUAUGCAGUUUUCAUCAGGAUGUAAUAACAACUACAUGAUCACAAUAUUUUGCAGGCAUCUGAAAUCCUAAAGCACCCUUAUCUACAGGCAUAUGUUGACCAAUAUCGCGUAUCCUUCACACAUGCUCCUGCCAACCAUCCUGAGAAGCUUCUUACCACUCGAGAUUCUCGGAAGAAUAUGGCUGAAAGCCAAAGUAGUAACAGCUCAUGCAGUGAUAGAGAUAGUUUGCUGUCAACUGAAAGAAAUGUUCAGGCCGUGGUGUACAACUGUGAAAAAGGAACCAGUGAUGCAGACUUGGCUUCUGUUGAUGAUGAUUCUUCUUCUGGGCUGCUUCAUCCAGGUGAUGAACCACAUGGAUCCGACAUAUGCACCACGAAUGUUGAGGAUGCUGAGAUGAUUAAACCCUUCCCUGAUGAGCAGAGAUAUAAUUCUGAAGUCAAGCAGCCAAGGAUGAUAAGAAACAUCAUGAUGGCUCUUAAAGAAGGAAAAGCCAGAGAAAACAGUUCUCCCAUGAGAAACCGAACAAAGGUUGGUGGCAUAUGUACACAGAAAACUAAUAUUGAAGCACCUCCCAAAAUCCCCAGACCUAGUUCAGUUACACCAGGUUUAAAAGGAAACACAGAUAUGCCAUCUCCUGUCACAGCUAAGGCUGGCUCUGAAUCUGUCAAACGGCCUGCGAUGCAAUCUUUGAAGCAUCAGGUACUAGCUGUAUCUUGCAUUACAAUUGGUAUCAGCAUACCUUGUUAUUCGUAUUAAUGACAUUUCUCUGCAGUUACCUGUUUCUGAUUCCACCCCUAAGACUAGACCAAGACAUGAGAUGAUCCCUCCUCUUCCUGUAAAGAAUAUUCCUGAAGAUGGAUUUCCUCUGAGGCCAAGACAAAAAACUCCUCCAAAUCUAGUGAGACGGUCAUCAUGCCCUGGAAGGAUGAAAAAUGUUGGACUUGAUGCUCCUGUUCCUGCAAGUAAUAAGAUUGUUCCAUCUGAGACUGCUGAUGAUCCCGAGAGGAGUCCUGAUUCAGGGCCUAAUGGCUGCAUGACAUGUGUUUCUAGGGGAACUUUGCAGCAAACUCACAAGGCAUCUAAAGGAGCUCCUACGGAGAGCAGCAAUUCUGCAUCCUCUUCUGUGUCAAUCCAAGCAUUCGAGAUUUGUGAUGAUGCGACAACUCCAUUCAUUAAUUUAGCAGCGCAGAUAUUUUGGAAUCAGGAGCACACGACUGAGACUGGAAGUUUAGAAUCACGGCCAAGCUGUUCAGUCGGUUCCUCGUACUCUGACAUGCCUGAAAAUUCUUCUAGAGAGAAUCAUGGGUUUGAAAACAAACCUGUAGCGUGCUUAGUAGAAACGCCAAAGCAGCAUGUCAGACACAAAUCUGAAGCGUGCUUAGUGGAAACACCAAAGGAGCAUGUCGGACAUCAAAGCAUGGAUAAUGCUGCUAAUAACAGCAAACUGAUUUCAACUGGAGAUUUGGAGAUUCCGUUUCGGCAUUCUGAAGAGCUGCUUCCUUCUAAAGAUGAAGCCUCAGUUAAGAGGUCAAGUGAUAGGCCUGAUGUUUCAACUCCAGCAAUCCACCCAUCUGCAUCCGGUGGUGAUGACAAGUUCAUGGUAAAGGAACUCCAACUUUCAGUACCUGAGAGCACUACUCUAGGUAUCUAUCCUGUGCCAUCCAGCCAAAAAAAUUUGCUGUCAGAUAUGGGAACGAUUCAGCAAAAUGUCAUUAUCGAAAAACCAACUGGUAAUCAUCUUCCACCAGCUUUCGAUGAUGUGAUUCACGUCAUUCGGCAUAGCAGCUUCCGAGUUGGAAGUGAUCAACCAGUGAUUGAUACAGUGGAUAGAAACUUAGAUGUGGGGAAGCUAAUAAAUGUGGUGACAGAUGAUGUUGAUAUUAAAAACCUAGCCACUACACCAAAAUCUCCUGGUUGCUCUGAGGCUCUGAGUUUAAAGUCAAACCUCUCAGAUAAUGCAAACGCCAAAGAAGUGGACGUGAAAGCUCCGACCAAUCACUUCACUCCAGCUCCAAAGUUAGAUUCUUCAGAACCAGCAAUAAUGAAUUCUCCUGUAGCACAGGAGGAAGGCCCAACAACACCAGCAAAGGAAACUUUGGAUGUCAAAUCUUUCCGGCAGAGGGCAGAGGCACUAGAAGGGCUCCUAGAAUUGUCUGCAGAUUUGCUUCAGCAUAAUAGACUAGAAGAGCUUGCUGUUGUUCUAAAACCUUUCGGAAAAGAUAAGGUUUCUCCAAGGGAGACAGCAAUCUGGUUAGCUAAGAGUCUCAAAGGGAUGAUGCUUGAAGACUCAGGACGGAUGUCGUGAACAAUUAGCCAAAACCCUGCUGGUAGGAGCUUUUUUUUUUUUUUUUUUUAUAAUUCCUUGCAUGUUCAUCGGGCUCCACGGAUUUGGCAUUCUCCAAGUUCCACUAAAAGUUUUCUACAUAGAUUUAAUACAUGUUUUCAUCUUCUUUUUACUUGGAAUUCUUUCAGUGCGAUAUUUUGUACAUAAUGGCAACAAUAUAAACCCAAUAAUUUUUUGUUCCAGAAAAUUGUAAGGAUAUCUUUUGGAACAUCAUAUUGUUAUCCUGUUAGCGAGAUUAGAAGUACUGUUCCUUCUUGUAUCACCCGAAGGGAUAUUCUCAGAAGAAAUCUUGAGAAUGCUUUGUGCAGAUGUUCUGUUACAUCCAUUCUCAUUUGCACGCGCAGGCUAAUAUCUCCCUCCAUUUGCUUUCAGCUAAAUCUGUGCAAAUCUUUUCCUUGGGCAGACUUCCAUGUUGUUGCAGUGUUUUAGAGGUCACUGUGUUGGUUGGUACCGUACAUAAGCCAAUGCAGUUGAGAAGACAAAAUUUGCCUUCUUGGACAAUUUACAAGUGUCAUUCAUAAGAUAUACAGGGUUGGUUUGGAUUAUAAGAUAUACAGGGUUGGUUUGGAUUAUAAGUUAUUUGAGAUAUUUUUACUGUAGCACUUUUUAUGACGUGAUGUAUGUGAGAUAAAAAGAUAAUUGAGAAGAUAAAAAAGUGUAUUGAAAAUUAUAAUGAUGAUGUAAAUAAAUAAAAUUGAAGAAAUAUUGCUCAAUCCAAACAAAGUGACAAUUUGACAUGUCAAUAGAUGUUUGAAUGGCUCAGGGUCAUAGGCCUCCAUUCUCUGCAUGCCACGAUAUCCUUGGAAAAGUUUCAAAUUUGCACGUGUUUGAGUGUUGACUUCGUCUUUCCCAAUUGACAACCGAACGAGGGUAAUUAUUGAUCUUUGGACACUUGAGUACUAGGCAGGUCUGCAAGCAUCCGCGUAUGUCCUUUGCGGCUCUGUUGAUUGAUUCAAUAGUCCACAUGGAAUCGACGAAAGGUCAAUCGCCCACACAGACUGCUGCAAAAAAUCGACGCAAGUCUUCACCAAACCUAUCUGCAGUCUGGUAGAUGAAAGGCUUUGGGGUUUUAUUUGAAGUACACAAUGCUAUGCAAUGUGUAACACUAAAUUUACAUAGUUAAUCAUCAAAUCUACCUACCGUGUGUGGUUGAUGAAAGUUGAGUUUUUUUAUUACACAAUUAGUUUUUCCUUUUUGUUGUAGAAAGGUCGAAUUUUUGUUCAUUUAGUUUAUGGGAUAGGGACACUGAUGAAGAACCGCCAAAGACUCAAGUCUUCACUUCAAGAAGCGCAAAUGAGGAUGCUCUAUGUGCACUAGGGGUAUCAACAAAUCAAGCUCGAUCAAAUGAUCGGUUCGAGUUCGGUCAAAUCGAGCUCAAGUCGAUCUUAAACUAUUUGAAUAUUUCAAUGAAUUGAAUUUGAAGCUAGAAAUGUUAUGCUCGAUAAACUCGCGAGCUUUUCGAGUUUAGGUAUAUUUAAAUAUAUAUAAUUUUAUAUUUAUAAAAUUACUUAGGGCCUGUUUGGAACCUUAAGUUUUUUGCAAGUUUGCAUGCUACUAGUUUUUUAACAACUUUUGCUACAGGAACUCCAAAAAACUUUUCAAAAUUUUUUACUUAUACACUUCAAAAUACUCAAAACACAUAAACAAAAUUUUUUUUCUUCCUUUUUUCUUCUUCUUCCUCCCUUAUCCCAACCCACUACCACCUCCAGCGCCGGUUCUAAUGCCGAUCACCUCUUUCGGUAUCGGAGUAUAGAUUUUUUUUUUCCUUUCUCCCUCUACCCCUCUUCGUCCCCCUUUACCCAAUUUGAUCCUCUCCUUUUUUUUUUUCUCCCUCGCCCUUUCCCCCACUCCUCCCCCACCACUCUUCCCCUUCGCCUCUGGCCGAUCUGGUAGCUAGGCCAGAUCGCACCAGAUUGCAUUGAAGUUAGUUUUAGUUCGUUCUAGUUUUUAUCCAGUUCAACGUGAAGCACCUUAAGUUCUAAUGGAUACUUGAUCCAUAUUAUUAACUUUCUUUGGAUUUUAAACUAUUAAUCAAUAAAGACAUAAUCUCCUCAUCUCCAUUCCCAUUUUUCCAGCAAAAAAGAUAAAAGUAAGUUUAUUUCAAAUUCAUAUUAUUGACACAAAAUUAGUUUAUUACUUAUUGUUAUUCUUAUUAUUAUUAUUAUUUUGCAGAAAUUGAAGGCAGCAAAAGAGAUUCUACUUCCCAUAAAAUGAAUGUGAUAAUUGGAAAGGUACAUAGUUUGUGUUUAACACUCCGAUUCCUCUUCAAAUAUCCUGUUUUAGAUUUUACCACUACUAUUUUAUUACUUAAAUUAUUAUUUUUUUUUGGUGAUAGGGCUUGCAAUUGAAAUUGGAAAGUUGGAAAGGACAAGAAGCUGCUGUUUUACUGCUUUAAUUGCAAAAUUUGUUUCACUUUUUUAAGUAUGAUUAUUUCUUGACAAUUGACAUUGUCUGUUGAAGACAUUCACUUGAAUGUUGAGUUGUUGACACUUUUUGUUUUUUUCUAUUUGUGUGACUUGGUGGAUGUUGGUUGUCUGACUUAUCUUUGAAUUUGGAUGCUGGUUUUGAUGUUAAAAUACAUAUGGAUGAAUUUGGAUAUCGGUUGGCAACAUGGCAUAAUGGCUGCAAAAUUUUUGACAGUUUGAUGCUUUGGCUUUAAAUUGAUAUUUAAAGCUGGCUUGUCUUAGAUUCUGAAUCAUAUGGAUGAGUUUGGACUUUGGACAGUGUUGUUCAGUAAUGUAUAGCAGAGCUUGUAUCUUCCAUUUUCAAGAUUGUAUCAAGUCUAUCCAUCUUUGUGAUGCAUAUGCACUUUGUCUUGAUGUAACUUUGCACAUAAAUUGAGAUUUAUACUUGAAGUUUUUGCAUUUGCAUUAGCUUGUCAUUUCCCCGGCAAAAUUUGUUAGGAAAUGUCACUGCCAAAGUGAUUUGGUUCAGAUAAAAGGCUGAAUGAAAGCAAAUUCUGCUUAGUCUAAGGAUAGUAGAUUGUUUCAGGCAGGCUUUAAAUGAGCACAAUUUUUUCGAGCUCGAGUUCUUGCUCGACUGCAAUUCGAGCAGUUUCGAACACGAGCUCGAACCUCAUGAAUUUCUUACGAAUCGAAUUCGAGUAUGUAAAACUAAUAUUCGUCGAUCUCGAGCCUUAAGCACUUUGUCAAAACUCGAACUCGAUCAAACUAGUAUUCGAGCUCGAUUCGAUUCGUUGACAUCCCUUGGGCCGAUGACUAGAGCAAGGGCAAGGAAGAUGUGAGAGACCCUCUAAACAUUCCUACAAAUCGUUCAUACAUGCAUAGGGAGGAUCCAGAGCCUAAUCACACGAUGGUGAGCCUAUUGCAAGCCCAAGAGAAGGCCACGGAUGACUAGGGAGAGGGCGGGCUGCAUUAUGGGCUUCACUAUUGAACUAAGUGUCUAGCGUAGACUUGAGAAUAAGGUUGGGCAGCCAUGUUGGCUUGGCUGACCAGCCCUUACCCAUUUAGGGCAAAUUAGCACUUUCCAAAUUCGUUUAUUUCCUUAGUAAGUUAGGUUUAGUUUUUGGAGUUAAUAUCGUUUUCCAUUACUAGUAGGGUUUCGGGACAUGAAGCCUAUAAAUACAAGGCUUGGCCGAGCUUGUCAUUUAUUCACUAAUCAAGAACAAUUUUCAAUUUUAAGAGUAUUCUCUUAGUUUCGGUUAACUUUGAAUAUCUUAGAUUUUGUUCUAAGCAAGAAUCACACUUGCUCGUGGCGCCGUUCUACCAAUAACCAUAAGUUCCUUUAAUCUUUUCUUGAGGGUUAAUAUUCAAUCUUAGUUCUCAUCCAAGGGAUUCUAAGGGGCUUUAGGGUUCCGCACAAUCAAAUAUUGGAGUUGCUUAUCUAGAUCCUGCUUGUUGGAAUACGAGUUCCUCCAAACACGGUUGGAUUUGUAUCAGACACGCUAGACAUGUUAAUCGUGAUUCACUUUUUGUUAAUUGCAGUUCCACUAUUUGUAUUAUCAUAUAGUUUAAUAAAUAAAAAUCAUGUGAUAAAAAUGAUAAUAGGAGUGCGAUUAACAAAAAGAGGAGUGUGAUCAAACAUUUCUCUAGUUUAAAACACUUGUGUUACUUGUUCAAUACAUCGUGUAACACUAAGUUUGAUAUUAAUUGUUUAGUAAAUCAUGAAGGAUGCGAAUUGUGUAUAACCUUUUAAAUAUAUGAUCAUUCAUCAUAAAUAAAUUGUUACAAUUUGUAAAAGUGAUGUAAAUCAUGUAUUGGACUGCAAACGAAUUGAAUUGCUCACCAGUAGUUUGAGUCUAAACUCGACUCUAGCUCGAUCAAUAUCGAGGUUGAGUUGACCAAGUCGAACUUGAGUUCAAAUUCGAAUUCAAACAUAUUCACCUCUUUAACUUAGAAGUUGACUCGAUUAUAUAUAUAUAUAUAUAUAUUAUUUUUUAUUUUAAUAAUAAAAUUACACAUAUAUUCCUAAUAUUUUAUUAUUUAUUAAGAAAAAUUAUUAUUUUUUCAUUUUUUAAAAAUAAAAUAAUUAUUUUUUAAAACUUUUUUAAGCUCGAGCUUGGGUUUGACUUGAAUAUUCGUCGAGUUCAAGUUCGAAUUUUAUAUUUUGAGUUUGUCGAAUUCUAGUUCGAAUUCAAACUUUAUAAAAUUAAAUUGAGAUUCAAUUCGAUUAGGCCAAAAUUUGAUUCGAUUCGAUUCGUUUGCACUUUUAAUAUUAAUUACCGGUACAUGUUAAUUAUGUUAAAAUUAUAUACCAUGACUUUACAAUUGAAUUUUGUAUUUGCUGCCAAUCGAUCUUACAACUAUUAUUGUCCCAUUUUCCAGAUUUUUUGUUGUAAUUAGAAGUUUGAGUGGAUUUCGAUCACUAAUACGAAUCAGGGCAUGUACCCAAAAUCAUAAGUUAUUUACGAGAAUUCUUAUAAAUCACGCAUGAACACAAUCUCAAGUGAUAGCACAAUUAGAACACACACCCAGUGUGUGUUGCCCGCACGUCCCAUUCCCCUGACGCAGGGAACCUCGGACGAAGUUCCUACCAUAACGUCGUGCAGAUGUCUUCCCUGACUUGGGAUGUGACAUGGAAUAUGACGUCAAGGGCGACAGCAGCCUUUUAGACCGCGUAAUUCAGAAAAGGGUCCAAACUAAGUCAAUUAACAUAAGAAUGAAAAAGGUUGGAUUGAUUCAUUUGGCCUUUUCGUUAAUUGAAAAAAAAUUACAGAAUAUAGAUUGUUGAAUUUUCUAGGAGCCCUAAUUAAUUUUAGGUUGUCUUUUUUCUCUUUCCCAAGUAAACCUACUAAUAAAACCAUGUUCCAUAAUUCUUACACAUUUACAUAUCGGUGAUAAGGCCUAAAAAAACAUAUCUGUGAUAAGGCCUAAAAAAAAAUAUCGGUGGUAAGUAGUAUUAAUUUAUUGAUUUUUCAUAAUUUUGUAUUAAAUAUAAGUAGGUUUCCAAUUGUAUUUCUUACUCAUUUUUUAACCUCCAAAAUUUUGCAUGUUUUGGCAGUCGAAAAUCAUGGUGUACAAAUUUUAAAUGAUUUUAUCCACCCAAAUUCCUUUUUUUUUUUUUAGCAUAACUUUCAAUAAUGAGAUUUAUGCUUUGAAUCUCCAAUAAAAUUAAGCACAGACAGUAGUUUGCCAACAUUUUCUACUCGAACACAUAUACAUAAAAAAAUGAAAUUUCACUUACCCAUCCCUUAACCUAGAAAUUUUGUUUAAAACAUCCUCACAUUUCGUUUAAUGAACUUUUUUUUAUCAUUUACUCUAAAAUGUUAAUUUCUACCCUCUACAAAUUCAAAUAUGUAAAAUUUAGUUACAAUCUAGAUUUUCGACUACUUUUUACCGUGAAUCUAUUACGUAACCCACACGUGAUCACUUUUUAUAGCAAUAAAAAUGUUAGAUUCUAUUGUAAUUAAACAAAUGAUUUGAUUCAUAUUAAUUUUUAUCCUUAAAAAUGUAAGAUGUGACUCGAAACAUAUUUAUUUUUUCCUAAAAGAUGGAGAUCUGAUUCAUUUUUUCUGUAUUUAAACAUUUUACCAAAAUUACUGUUAAUUUUGUUGUGUCUCUGACAACUCCACAUCACAUAUGAAGACUGUGCAACCGACCAUCCAUGCUAAAGUGUGGAAAAGAUAGGUCCCAUGCAGGGUGCCCUUUAAUGUCAGCAUUAACCACAAUAGAAACAGAAGCAUGUAUACACGGAUAACUUUUGCCUACAGUUCAAUGGAUCUUGCCAUGUCAAGAAAAAUUGACCAUCGUUUUCAUGGCAUUUCAUCAUUCUAAUCAACAAAAGCCACCACAGGAAGUUUCACAGGAAUCUUAAUCCACUCGGUGUACUUUAGCAGAUACAGACACACAAACACACACACACACACACACACAAACAUAUAUAUACAUGUCUCCAACAUUCUUGAAAUCAUUCACCUGAUGUCUUUCACUCCCUUCUCUAACAAUCACACAGAAAAAUACUAUCUCAAAUCCUUAUUUCGAUAUGAUCUCAUACAAUCAAAUUAUUCACGUAAUUGUCAGAGGUACAAAUCUUUAGUAACAGUCCUUCAGGUCAUUCGUGUUACAUUUUUUUUUAUAUACCAUCUCUUAGUGAUACAAUAUUUCUCAUAUGAACUAUGGCAUCCAUUGAUCUUGAAGCUGCACGAAUACGAACUUCGACUCUGCAUUUCACACCACAUUCAUCAACUUCUUCUGGGCUUAACAAGGCAAGGCCGUUACUACGUUGCAUGAUAUGGGCACUAAUUUUGCUCGUAAUAGCAAUUAGUGCAUGCACCUUCGCUGUGUGGUACGUUCUUCGUCCAAGAGUACCAAUUAUCCACAUUAACUCGUUCGAUAUAUCGAAUUCCACUCAAUAUAAGAUGGGAUUCACGGUCAAAAACCGCAACUUGUUAACGAGUUUGUGGUUUUGCACUUUGAAUAUGUCCUUGUUUUACAAUGGUCAUAAGAUUUCAAGUUCUUCUUUGGAGACUUUUCUCUGAACAAAAUGAACGAGACAACCCAGAGUGUCGAGUUUGCUGUAGCCUCCCCAAACAUUUGGUUACAGAUUGAAGAAACAAAUGCUAUUGAUGACAUGGGAAUGGAAGUGACAAGAAAAAGACUAAGUUUCGAUGUGGAAGUGAGGGAUUCUGUUGUCAUCUCUGCUGGGAAGUUGUAUUACAACAAGAAGAAAAUGGAAAUCUUAUGUCAGGAUCUAAAGAUGGAGUACUUCUUUAAAGAGAGGAGCUGGAAAUUCAUGGGUGAAAAGAACUGCUUAGUUCGUUUUAGUAAUGCUUCCUGACAUAUGUUCCAAGAUUAUUAUUUUUUGUUUCUUACUUUUGAUUUGUUUGCUAGGCUGCUAGCUUGGAUAGUAGUUUUUUUUUUUAAUAACUUUGGAGGAUUCAUUUAUUUUUAUAAAGUUUAGUCAAAUAAUUGACUUGUGUUGACCCCAUACUACAAUGGUUCUUCAGAAAUGUAACAAGAUUAAUUUUUAAUCUUCUUCCACCCAGUGGACAACUACAAUCAAUAAGAGAGAAAUGAAAAAAAAAAAACCAUAAUUAAGUUUCAGUCUCCAGAUUUUUGUUCUCCAUGAUUUUCUUUUAAUUGUGUCGCUAAACUUGCCUUGAACGUGCGACAUGUGUGUUGGGGCGAACUCUCCCUUCAGAUAAUGUAUGUAGAUGUCCAUGUUUUUUCUUGAUAAAAUGUGGCACUGGAAAUUAACCUGAUCAGCUAGUAAACGACUACACUGUAGUGUAGUGAUAGUAACCUAAUCAGCUAGUAGCUUCAGCACCAACGAAUCUAAUCUUUUCUCAGCCAAGUAUAAUUCUAUUAACAUUUUCAUUGCUCCUUAAUUUCAUUUCAUACGCAUCCUUGGGCUGAAAAAACCUACAUAUUGUAAGCAUAUUUCAAUCUUUUUUCUUGGGUGUCACAUGAUGCAUAGGUAAUAUCUAGUUUGCUUGAAUUAAGUCGUGGUUCUUUAUACUCUAAGGUCAAAUUUGUACUGGUCGCAGGUAAUUUGAAUUCCCAUCUUCUCACAUCAUUGUUAAAAUUGUCUUCGGUAGAAUAUGAGAGUUACUGUUUUCUCUUAUUUUGGGUUUGAAUAAUUACAAUGAUAAAUGCCUGCAAUUGAUUAGAAAUGUUUGGUACUUUUGCACAUAUGGUUUGUUGUCAUAUACUCACCACACACACAACUGAUUCGAGGGAUUUGGCGAAAACAUCUAUCGGAUACAUUUUUGGCUUCAUGUCAUUUUGUUGUUUUGUGCGCCUUGCGCGUGCUUGGUAUGUAGAUUUCUACUUAGUCUUUUACUGAUUUAAUGCACUAAUGCUUGUUUUGGUCUUUUUACCAGUUUACACUCAAGGGGUUCAUACAACAUUCGUGCUGUGGAACAUCAGGCAACUUUGAUAAUGGCAAUACAAAAGGAGAAUUAAUAUUAGUAUAUCUAUGGAGCUUAUAAGUGACUCUUUUUUUUAUAAGUUUUUACAAAGAAUGCAAUUACCUCACCACCUAUGCUUUCUACUUGUAGUUAUAAGAUGACUCUGAGCUUUUGACAUCUAUAGGAAAAAGCAAUUUUCAUGGGGUGGAAAUUGCCCGUAGGAUAGAAGGUUACAAUUCAUAACCACUUAAUUAACAACCCUACACUUUAUAAUAAUUCAAUCUGUUUCCCACUUUUCAGUAGACAAGAAUGUUUAUUUUAAUGCUCAACUUGGGACCAAUGUAAGUAAAUUUCCAGGAUUGUUUAAUUCUUAAAUUAAAUUUGAAUCACUCAAGUUAUGUAAAAGGGUUUAAGAUUACAUGCAUUUUAAAAUGUACUUCCAUUUGGCAACAACAAAAUCCCAAUAAAAAAUAAUUAAAAACCUCUGAAAAUCUCUAUUCCCCUGAAUAUUACCCACUUUGUAGGAUAUUAUACUUGGCUUGCAGUUUGGCAUUUCAAACUGUCCAUCAUCACUCUUACUAAACUUGAUAAAUAAGCUAGAUGCUUAUUUCUUUGACAACUUAUUGCUUUUGCGAGAAAAAUGGUUAUUGUGGAAAAAACGGAGUAUUUCUUGAAAGAAAGGAGUGGGAAACUUUCAUAAAUCUUGUGGAGUCAUCUUUCUCUGUGUGUAUGUGUAAUUGCAAGAAGAAAGACAAUAAGUUGAAACAGCAUCCAGAAUGUGAGGUCUGAAAACUCUAUUCAAUGGCAUUUGAAUUGUAGGCAGGAUUAACUAGGGAUAAUUUCAGAAAUCUCUCUUGAGGUUUUCAACCAUGUCACUUAGUUCCCUCAAAGUUUUAAAAAUUAUAUUUACCUCCCUUGAUUUGACACUUUUGAUAACCAAAUCCUAAAAUAGGAUCAAAAAAAUUAAUGAAUACCCUAAAAUGCAGUUAUCUUAUAAAAUUUAAUUUAUUCUUCUAAACAAUUUCAUAGUAAUUUUGUACAAUUACAAAAAAAUGAGCGUCAAAAUUUUCAUAACAAUAUUUGUUAUUUGAUAAUCAACUAUAGCAAUAAAUUUAUCACUAUAAUAGACUACAUUUCAUAGUGAUUUAUUGGAUAUAUAGAUUCUUUCUAAGAUAGAGAAAAAAAUCACAUCUUGAUUUUUGUUUAGAGUUUGUGGACUAGUUAAGUGGUGGAACUAUCAUAGUUUGGUAGUGAUUUUGGGCCAUUUGUUUUUAGGUUAUUGUUAAUUUAUUCUUGAUUUUGAUAAAAAAAAAACAAAUAAAAGCUGCAAAAAAGUUGGAUAAUAUUAGAAGUUAUCCAAAAAAAAUGUUACUGGUUUGACAUUUGAUCAGGAUAGAGGUCAGGGAUAACAUUGAUAAUUUUAUUUGGUUUUUUCCAACUAAAUAUAAAAGAAAUGAACAUGAAGAAAAAAGGAAAAUAAAUUAUAAAACCAUUUUUUGUAUAAGCAUAGAACAUAAGGAAGUUUCAUUAGAAUGUUAAUGCCAGUAUUGUCAUUUUGAAUUAAUGGAUAAGGAAGGUAUGUGUAAUUUUUGAAACUUCAAGGGAAUUAAGUGAAAUUGUUAGAAAUCUCAGGGGAGGCUUCUGAAAUUAUCUCAAUUAACUAUGUGUACGUGAAUCUAAAAAGCCUCCAUACCCAUUCUGCUGCUACCAUCAAUCGGCUCACUAGCAUAACCCUCCAUCCCAGCAAAAUCCACAGCAUCUUGUCCCAAAUGAAGCCUCGUGGAAGUGAUCAACAGGCUUUUGACUCUUGAGCAGUACAGUACCACUGCUCUGGCAGCAUAGUCUUUUCCAACAGAUUCUUUCAGUGAUUGCAAGUCUUCAAAAUGGUUGUUAACAAGUCCAAAAGAUGAUACACCACAGAAAUAUGCAGUUUAAUUUCAUUAGCAAGAUAAAUAUAGCUACUAGAAAUCUGGGUUUCUUAAAUGUUUUACUUCUAUAGGAGUAGUUUUUUUUUCUUUUCUUUUCAGAUAAAAAAAAAACCUUUUGAAACAUGCACUUAUGUAUUCUUUAAGGUGUUGAAGUGAAAAUUAUUGAGUUGUGGAGACUCCAUAUCAUACAAUGAUCUCCAAAAAGAAAAGAAGAGAAAAAAGAUAUACACCAACGUAAUUUAUAUAAGCUAGAUGUGUGCAUUGUAUAGAUAAAUUAUGGCUGUACAAAUUUUUGUGUAUAUACAUUGUGAUUACGGAUCAAGAAAGAAAAGUUGAACUUUCAAGUAGAAGAUUUGGUGGACAGGCCAAGAAGGUGGGAUGGCGUGCAAGUCACGUGUUCUCUCCCUAAACUGUCCCGUUCUUUCCUUGUGGUUCUGACGCUUUCAAGUCUCAGUGUACAACUACUCGUUUUCCUUUUUUCCUAAAUGUAAUAUACAUCUAUUGCUUAUGUUCUAUAAGAAGUAUUGUAGCCUAUAUUAGUUUAUAUCGCCAAUAUUAAAUCUUGUAUGUGCUGUUAGUGAUAGAAAGCAUAUGAUGUUGAUUCAAAUGACAGAACUGAUAAUCUGGAAUCUAAAAUUGGCCAUAUGCAUCUGUUACAACAAAUGUUAUGGUCUUUACCUCUUAUAAAGUUGGAUUGGAAGAAAAGGAUAGUGAUAAUUAAGUUCCAAAACAUUUUCAUGACAAGAACCAUUAGCAAAGUGAGUCAGGAAAAUCAUUAACAUGUAGUCUUAAGGAUGAUGAUCUCUUUGUUUCACCAAUUUUGAAAUAAAAAAGAUUCACAUCUACCUAAAAAAGAUCUAUAUACCUAUAUAUAUAUAUAUAUAUAUAUAUAUAUAUAUAUAUAUAGGUUAAAUGCACUAGACGCCAUUGAACUUUACUUUAGCUGCGGUUUGCUUCUUUGAACUCAUUAAAUAAGUAUUUUGUCCACCCCAUUUGAUAUUUAUGACCAAAGUGCCUUUACUAUUCUAUUUUGUUUCUUUUUUAGGCACUAUUGUUUUUCUUUUCCAUUACUUUCUUUUAUUUUUUAUUUUAUUCUUUUCACUUCUCUCAUGUCACUAUUUUGUUUCACUUUCCUACUCUAUUACUAAUUUUAUGCUUAUUAUAAUAUAUAAUUAUCUUUUACUUAUAAUUUCAUUCUUAUUUUAUUUAUUUACACUAUUAGAAGAUAGAUAUAUGCCUAUCAUAAUGGCUGCUGCCUGCAUCUACUCUAAUGGCAGAAAACAAUCUUCAAGAAAUCUUGAAACCCUUUUAUCAGCAAGCUUCUGAGGCUGAGUCCCUUUGGUCUCUUGGCUGCUGCCUCCAUCUACUCUAAUGGCAGCAAACAAUCUUCAAGAAAUCUUGAAACCCUUUUACCAGCGAGGUUCUGAGGCUGAGUCCCUUUUGUCUCUUGGCUGCUGCUGCCUCCAUCUACUCUAACGGCAGCAAACAAUCUUUAAGAAAUCUUGCAACCGUUUUACCGGCGAGCUUCUGAGGCUGAGACUCGAUUGGAGAGACUUGAAGCUGCAAUUGCUAGUGACAGAAAUGCCGGAAAUGAGGAAUUAUUUGAAUAAGGUUCGUGAGCUUCAGUCAAAGCUAGAAGAGGAGAAAGCAGAACAAGCUUUAGAAAGAGCUAAAGGCAGCUAAAUGCAGAAAAUGCCAAGCACCAGGAUCGCACGAACCAUCUUGUUCAAGCACUAAAGGAUGCUGAUUGUAUGUUACAAUCCAAGUGAGUGACCUUUGGGACUUAGCUCCAUUUGCCUCUAUCAAGUUGGAAUGUGCCAGAUGGGAAGAAUGACAUUCCAUUUUGUGAUCUGAAAGCGAACCAUGAUGAAAAGCAGCAGAUGAACUCAAAUGCUCUAUUUUUUUUGCUUUCUUCAAAUUUAAAGGGUCACUUAUAUACCUUCUUUACUGCAAAUGCUUUUCCUUUCAUUAAAUUUUUAUGCUUUUGUCAGAUGGAAUGGAACCAAUCUAGAGCCUCUCACUUAUCAGCUGUGUACAGAGGACUUGUCGAGUAGCAUAUGAAGUCAUUUUAGAGCUUUUCAUUUAUUGAGAACGAGAAAACUGCCAAAAUACAGGCACACACACACAUGCACACUUAUUUUCUAUUUUUCUAGUCAUUUGCAUAUUCGCAUACACAUACUCAUAUUGUCAAGUAUUCUUAACAAGUAUUUGAGCAAUCCUAGAUUAAGUCCAUCUUCUUUUGAAGGUUUGAUGCAUCUAAAUUUGUCAAAUUAACUUGGUAUUUUAUACUUCCAAUUCCAAACAUUUGGGUUUGUUUCUCGAAUGGACAACGGAUUACAAUUUCAAAAUCAACUAUUAGUUUUUAUCCUUGGAAUAUGAAUAAGAUUGGAAAUAGAUAGGCCUUACUGAUUUUGGAAAACUACCAAAACAGUUGAUGUUAUUUUUUUUUUUAAAAAAGUUUAAGUUUUUGAGUAGGUCAAAAUAAAUGUUAAUGAUCUGGCCCUGCGAAUUUAUAAUUUAUGUCUCUGGCUAGCCAAAUACUGUUAUUCCAUAUUAUCUCCGCUAUGGUAAGAGUCCUACAUGGGGAGGUAGUGAGGUACCUUACAUUUUACUUUAGAUUCCAGAUUCUGCACGAACUACCUAUUAACAAAAAACUGGCACAUCUGAAAUCACACACACACACACACACACACACAAUAUAUAUAUAUAUAUAUAUAUAUAUAUAUAUAUAUAUAUAUAUAUAUAUAUAUAUAUAUGUUGAUAGGUUGCUGUUGCUAAGUUGGUUAUUUUGGCUUUUUGUCAAGGGACUAUCUAUCUUUUUGCCAAGUGGAUGUCUUUAAUGUUAGUAUUUUUAUUUUGUAUUCUUGCAGUGGUUUUUGGUAAUAAUUAAUUUCCUUCCUUAUUUAUAGCAUGGUUUUUUAUUUAUAGUCAAUUUCAACAAAUCUAUUAAUAACCUACCUCACAUAAAUUUGUAUUAAUUGUUCAAUGCAUAAUUUUUAUUUUCUUAAUUUUCUUCAAUUACGUUCACUCUAUCUCUAUUAUUAUACUUGAUUAGUAUUUAUUUGUAAUUCUGAAGUUUUGACAAUUUUAAUUUUUUAAUGAAUCUACAUUACACAAUUCUAGCAUAUUACUAAUACAAGUCGAUUUGAAUAGAAAAAAGUCCAUUUUAAAUUGUAUAAAUAUUCAUUUUUUCUAAAAUAUUCUAUUAAUUUUUAUACUCUCUUCAUUCAAAUUCGAUUUAGGCCAAAGUAGUAUUCAUAUAAACACAGAGUUGUAAAAGUUCUCCCAAAUUAGUUUUCUUAGCUUUUAAUAAUUUGAGCAAAUAGUAAGUUCAUUCUAUUAGUUUACUUUUAAAAUUCUUUUUAGUAGUGAAAGAAUCAAAUGUUGACUUGCCACUAUUAAUUGGAAUAAACAUAAUUAAAUUACAGGAUAAGGUUUGAUUGAAACAAAUUAUUAGGUUGUUUUAAAUUAACCAUUUUCAAUAUGUUUAAUUUUAAUGUUUGUCCUAGAAUUAGCAAUUAAAUUUUGUAAAAUAGCAUUUUAAAUUCUUUUAUAACAAUUUUUGUUCAAAAAAAUAUAAAUUAUAGAACAUAAAAAAGUACCUGCACAAAUGCAUUUGUAGUGGUUGCAGGUAAUUCAAGUUCUCAUCUUCUUACAUCAUUGUUAUAAUCAUCUUUAGUAAAAUAUUAGGGUCAAAAGAUAUUUUCCCCUUAUUUUGGGUUUAAUUUAUUAUAAGAUGUGAGGACUCGCAAAUUCCUUGUAUUUUUCCUCAAAAAUACCCUUUUAUUUGAAAAUUAGUAUUUAUCAAAGGCCACUACCCAAAUAUUUCACAUUAAGUGUAGAUAAACCUAGAAAAUAGGGUUUUACGCUUCGGUUUCAAGUUUGGAGCGAAAUUAGGGUUUUCGCGAUUUUCCGCCGGAUGAAUUUUCGGUACAGAGUAAGAAUUAAUUUGGGGAUUAAAAGUGACUUUUAAGUGAGAAAUAAUAUGUGACUAGUGGCAAUGAUAUAAGGUUAGUGAAUGGGAAGUAAAAACCCUAGUACGUGAGUUUUUAAGAAAAACGGCGCGAACCGCGCGGUCCCGCGCACUACCGUUUGAACGCACCACUUGACCAUCAUUUUUUAUAUACUUAAUAUCUUUAAUAUUAGAGCCAAACAUCAGCUAUAAAGCUGAGCAAGCUGGCCGAAAUUUUUGACCAAAAACAACAAGGAAAAAGAAAAAAAUUAAGAACCAAUCUUGAAGCAACAAGUGGUAGACUUUCCUUGGUUGGUUGACUAAUGAAUUUCCAUCAUAUUUAUCCCUAAAACCAACUCCAAAGCUCUUCAUUUCUGCACCAUCACAGCCGAGAGAAAGAGAGAAAAGGGAGAGCAAGAAAAACAAGAAAAACAACCAUUUCAUCUUGAGUUUGAUCAACCAAGUGAGAAAUCAAACAAAACAAACCGAUUAAACUUGUCCUUGAGUGAUUAGUUAGUGACUUGUGGUGUGAUUUUUGAAAGAGAAAGCUUGGGCUACUCUUAGUGAACUCUAGUCAAGGUAAGAAAGCUUAUCUCUCCAAGUUUUACUUUCAAUCUUGUUAAAUUAAGCUUAGCAACUUGAUUUUGUGGUGGAAUCAUGGAUAUUAUCUUGUUUUGGAAGUUUUCCCCAAUUUAUUGAUGAACUAGGGCUUGAUGAAUUUCUGCCCAAUUUGUUGUAUGAAGUAUAUAUGUUGAAAUUAAGGUUAUAAGAGAGGCUUUGGUAGUGAUUAGACCAAGAAAUUAAGGAAAGUUCCACUAAAAACUAGGAAUUCCAGAAUCUGGAAAUGUUUUCCCAACAUUCUGUCCGAAUUUGAAUCCCUAUGCUAGAGGCCGAAUUGGCCUUAGGUCAAAGAAGGAAAGUUGUAGAUAAUGGUUUUAUAGGUCCUACAAAAUUUCAGCUCAAUCGGAGCAACGUAGGAUGUGAAAAGUCCAAAAUACCCUUACUAUUUUAAGUAUUUCCUAAGCAGUCCGUGUGAUCAGUUAAGUCCAGUUUAUCCCGUUUUUUUGACUAGGAUCCAUUCUGAUUUAGUGUUUUGCCAAAACAUGAAAGUUGUAGAAUUCUGAAUUAGAUUUUAAAUGCCUCUAAGAACACCUGAUUCGGACUUGUGUACUCUGAGUUAUGUCCAUUACAGUGUUCUGCGUUUAAACAGCCGACGAAUUGGGUUCUGGUUAGUAAUUUGAGAAUUUGACUAAGUUAAAUUAGGAACUGGACUAAGUGACCUUCAUGAAUGUUAUAGCUCUGUGUCUUAGCUUCGAAACGGCAUAGGUUUCGUCUCAAUCCGAUAAGCGUAGCUUCAGAUAUGUUAUUUCCGCAUUCGUACGUCAAAUCUGUCUUGUGCUAAGUUGAAUUUCUGCACUUGUGAUUUUGUAAUUCUUAUUCUUAUGAUAUUGUGAGCCUAUGGAACGGCUCUUGACUUGAAUUGCUUAUGUGUGAUGUUGGGCUGUGGUUGAGGAAAAAUAAUGAAGCCAAAAUGGCUGGAAAAUUAGGUAAACACAAAGGGCGUGCUGCCCAAAUUUUCGCUCGAGGGCUAGGUUUCUAUUGGAACUUGUAUACUUUUGUUUGGCCAAUACCAUGACCGGUUUUCCAUUAUAAAACAUGAUUUUUCAUCCUUGGGUUCAAACAACCCUCUUCUUACCUGAAAGUCAUCUUUACACGUUUUACUCUUAAUUAGUCGGGUUUCUUUGUUUCCCUUAAAUGUUUUGCUCGAUAAACUAUAAUAAUGUUCUCUUGUUCAACCUUAGGUUUCAUUGGUGAUUAAGGGUAAUAUCCGGAAGGAUAUUUUGCACGAUAUUUUGCAUUUCUAGGUGAGUGUUCCUUAUUUGAUUCUAUGGCUUGUUGUUAUCAUUUGCUAAUGUGUUAAGUGUUUUUAAUGAUUUCCAAAACGAGCUUUUUAGGCGAGUGUGUACUUUAUCGCACUCGACCUAAAUAACUGUGCAAUUUUCAAGGAUUUAAUGAUUGAAAUGUUACUUGCGCAUGAAUGUAAGCCUUUUGGGCUGAACUGGCCAUUGCCCCUUGUUACCGGUCGUCUCGAGCCAGAAGCGGACUCGGUCGGGCGAUUAGGGACUUGGGUGAACGUUUGGUAUACUCGAGUAUUACCCUGUAGGUUGGUGGAGACUGGCCAACGGCCAGGACGGGGGUGAAUGAAUGAAUGAAUGAACGAACGAACGAACGAGGGUUUAUUGAUAAACGAAAAAUGCAUUUUCAAAUGAUUGGAGGAAUAAGGGGAAAUGUCAGGAGAUCGAAUGAACGAAAUAACGAAUUGCUCCUUGUGAGCCGUAUCCUUUUAAUGAAUGUGUUACUAUCGCUUUCCAUUGUAAAUGUUUCUUGAAUUAUUGAUACUCCAUGUUUAAUGUAUUGGAUUGAUUAUCUGAUUAUGUGUUCGGAACCUCACUGGACUUUUAGCUCAUUCCUUUAGUUUUGUUUUCCUUACAGGGGAAGGCGAGCGAGGACGUGAGCUUGAGAUAGACUAGCCAAUCUAGUUUUGUUUCUUUUGUUUCUUUUGUAGUGGUUCUCGCCUAGUGCUUGGCACGGGCUGGACGUAUGAAGGAUUGAGAACCCUUGUAUAUUUGAUGUUUAUAUUCUCUUUUGGGUUGGUAAUGUAUAUAAGUUCCGCUUUAAGUUUGGAUCAAUGCCCUAUUUAUUCUAGUGAUUUAUUUCAAUUUUUAAUUGAGGACUGUAGCGAACGACUGAGUCCCGGCGAGAGCUGGGCAGGCGGCCCGCCGAACCCUCUGAUACGCCUUAGGGGGAGGUGGGGUCGUUACAUAAGAAGACAUGCUUGCUAUGAACAAAAAAAGUUUUGGUGACGAAGCUCGAGAUAAAGAAGUUGGAUUGAAUAGAAAUGCUUAAUGUUUUUUUUUUUCUCAUUUUCUAAUGAAUUCUAAAGUUAGACGAUUUUCUAGGUACGUAAUUUCAACUCGCAUCUAGCACCACCCUUUUUCUAAAAUUUUUUUUUUCUAGUAGUGGAAUGAUGGAAUUUAAGAAGCUGGAAUCUAGCACCCUUCUAAAACCUCAACUUUAUCCAGCAAACCAACGCCUCCUCAGCGAAUGUAGCAUCUCUACUCGCUAAGACUCCCUCACUUUCUCGUCUCUUCUCAAUCACAGACAAAGUAUAUUAGCACGUUCAAUUCACUCUCCCUUUGCCACAUCAUCAGUUCAAGAUAGAAGUUUUUUUUUUUUUAUUUCAUGCAUUUAAAUUUUGUGAAACAUGGUUGUUCAUAGAUAGACAAUGGGUUACAAUGUUAGAAAAAGCUAUUUCUUUUUAAGUAUUUAUAAGUAAUACAUUUUGCAUGUUUACUGAAAUACUUUAGGUUGAAUUUUCAAUAGUUGUCUUCUAUGCUGCCCCGUACGUGAUGGAUGUAUGAGAGAACUCAUCUUCAUCUGCUGGUUUUUUUUUUUUUUUUUUAAAGACAAUGUCAAGUUAAUUGAGAACUUUAAAUUGAUAUCAUCUUGUUGGUUUGUGCUCGAUUUUGUCAUUUUAAAGGUACACAGUCAUGGGGAUCAUAUAACUUCUGUUGUGUGAUACAUAAGUAUACUUUAAUCGCAAUUCAAAAGGACAACUAAUUUUACAGUUUCAUAAAUUUGCAUCUUCUUGAUCAAAAUCAACAUUUAUGGAAACCCAUCCAUCACCAUAGUCAGCAUAUUUACUGCCAACAUAAGUGGCCAAAAAUAUAAAUUCAUAAAUUUCUUUCUUGCCAAAAUGAUCGCUACCAAAUAAUUCAGAAACUCCAUUACCACUUUAAUUGAGAACAAUUUAAUUGAGAACCCUGCACUAAUCAUCCGAUUUACGCGUUUAUAAUAAUCCACAUGUGUUUUCUCUUUUAAAUUGGCACACAUGUUUCUUUUAGAUCUCAUUUUUGGCAUCAGUGUUAUUCUACAUCCAUGUUAGUGAAAUUCGUAGAAUAAACAUGAAACAAUCAAGUUAUCAAAGAAAGGAUUUAAUAUCACAUGCAAUAUAAAAUCUAUUUCCAGUUGGCAUUAAUAAAAUUUCUAGAAAAAGAAAAUAGCCAACAAGUUUUAGAAAUCUCUAUUUUCCUAAAAAUUACACACUUCGUAAGAUAUUAUGCUGGCUUGCAGUUUUGUAUUUCGAAGUGUCUAUCAUGACUCUUAUUAGAAUUGACACAAUAAGCUAAACGUUUAUUUUUGAAAAAACAUGGUCACCUUAAAAAAAAAAAAAAGAACUAAAAAGUUCUUGAGAGAGAAAGGAACGAAUAGCUCGUCAGCCAAAAGAAUUGCUCAGUUACUUCUCAUCAAUCUUGUUAAGAUGUCUUCUAAUGUAUUCGGCAGUUCUACAACUUUGUUUCUAAAACUUCAAUCGAAAGAUUAACUUAUAUGUUGUAUAAAGUGUUAAAUCAAAUUAUUUAGUGACGAUCCCAUAUUUACCACCAACAUAAGUGCCCAAAAAUAUAAAUUCAUAAAUUUCUUUCUUGCCAAAAUGAUCACUACCAAAUAAUUCAGAAACUCCAUUACCACAAUUAUUAAAUACCUUCAUACUGUCAAUCAACUCCAUAAGAGAAAAAUAUUUUUCAACUUUGAUAAAACCUAUGUUUAUCAAAUCAAACAUCUUCCUAUCACCUUGAGGAGAGAAUUUGUCAAUGUAUCAGGUAGGUUUAUGUUUGUUAGGGGAGAAUUUGUCAAUGGUGAGAAUUUGUCUAUAGCAAAAAGCCAAGCAGAAUUGUGUCUGUUGGGGGAACAUCAGCUGAUUCUUGAAGAACCAAUUGGAAUCGUGUGCAAAUGUUGCUAAAUUGUGUUUAUAGAGAUGAAGAUGGGAUUGGGUUGACCUUCCAGAGGUGAUUGCUUUAGUCUCAUGAGCUUCAUUUUAGUGAGUCAGCCUUUGGAAACUAUUACACCUCCAUUCAUGCUGAAGGCUCUGUACGUAUUGGAUCUUAUUCCAGAUGAUAUUAAGAUAGUCAUCAACUAGAAACAUCUUUGAGAUUUUGUAGGAACAGGAAAAUGGCGAAGAAGUGAUUACAAAUAUAAUGAACAAAAGUGGGAGGAAAACUAUUACUAGGGAUAAGAACGAUUUUGAUGAUGAUGAUGGGGAAGUGGAAGCAAUAUUGUGUUUGUGACUAAAGAAAAUGACCCUCCAAACUUGAGAUGUAAUUAUGUAAAGUGUAGGAAGUAGUUUCCAUUUGGAGGAAAAAGGGUUGAGGUAAUGGAAAUAAGAUGAAAAAAAUGACCAUUGAGAGUAAACCUUUAGGGAAUGGAGCUCGUGACAAGGGAAAUUGUCUAUUGAUUGAGAAUCUUGAUGUUCUUGACCUAAAAUCCUCUAGCUCUGAAGUGGAUGCUAAUGAUUCUGAUAAAGACUAUAGUGAGGAAGAAUCAGGGAGCUCUGACUCCAAUUUUAAAAGCCGAAUUUACGGUUUUAAUAGUACUUAAUGCUUAUAGGUUUACAGAUUUGAAUGGAUAAAAUAACCACUCAAAAUAUUGAUGUGGGAGAUAAUAAAUAAAUCAUAAUAUUGUUAUAUCUUAAAACAAUGGAUGAAAACCACACCACAAUAUAAUCUUACAGACACUUUUAGACUCUCUUAAGAAAAUAUCACAACUAAUCCUAUAUUUAUAACCUACUAGAUUGGGUAAGAAACCACUUACAUUAACAACUACCAAAUAAACAUGUAUUCCUAAAUUACAUAACUACUAAAAACCUAACUUCAAUAAAACUAGUAAAUAAAUAAAUACAUACUUCUAUGCGUGGUUUAUUUUGCCAAUAUUUCAGAAUUUGUAAGAAUUACCUACGAUCAAAAAUGCUGUCCUACUUCAUUUGGAAAUAUUUAGAUGAAGCCCUGCUAUAUUUUUGGACGAAAACACUGCCAAUUCAGCAUGAAUUAUACUCCGUGACCAGGCUGAUUUCAAACUGUGCCAUACUUUUUUGGCUUAGGAUUUUGUACUACUUAAUAUUGUAUAAUAACAAAAAUUGGCACAUCAUUUUGUGCAAGAUAAUGUUAAGCUAAUUGACAAACUUGAUACAUGAUUUUGUUUCUGCGUGCGCGUUGCGUGUGUUGGGUAUGCAUAUUUGUUCUUUGCUUUUCCAAUAGCUUACAGCACUAGGCAUAUAUUUGUCUUUUUCAAUUACCAGUUCAAAGUACAUGUAGGAAAUUAAACCAAACUAUUUUAGUAUUAGUUUCCUAAUUCUUUUUGGUGUCUUGUUUGUCUAGUUUCCAUAUUAGAUUAGGAAAUCUCAAUCAAUUUUCAAGUAAGUUUCCAUAUUUGUUUUAGGAAGUUUUAAAGUCUAUAAAUACUACCAGUCUAGUAGGUUGUUAAUUGAAGUGUAGAGUUAAGUCUUGAGAAUAGGUUUGAGAGAAAAUCUCAUAAUUAAGAUUUGUGAGUUGUUGUAAGUGAAACGACUUGAUAUUUGUUAUUGUUGAAUUUUAAGUUAAUUAAAUUAUUGAGUAUUUGUUCUCCUCAUUUUCCCACAUAUUUUUAUAUGUGUUAGAAUUGCUUCCGCUAUGUGCACACAUUUUUAUGUUACAACAAGUGGUAUCAGAGCUCUAAGCUUUGAUCCUGGGGCUUGUUCGCAAAAUUGGGGUUUGAAGUUUGUUUGUGAAAUUAAAGUAUUAAUCCGCAUUAUUUACAACAUUGUCAUGUUUUUAUCUUGAUGGUAAAAAUAAUUUCAAGACUUGGAGGUCGAUGAUGAAGGAUUUUUUCAAAGAUAUUGGAGUUUGGAAUAUUAUCCAAAAGGGGUUCACAAAACCUACAGCAGAUACAGAAUUAUCAAGCGAUGCAGUUAAAUAAUUAGAGAGGAAUAGAUAGUUGAAUUGCAAGGCACUCUACUAUCUCAGUAUCCAAGUCCAAUUACAUGUAGUGAAAAAAUUCAUACAUGUAAAGACAGCAAAGGAGGCUUGGAAAUUUUUAAUAAAAUUUUAUGGCCAUGGUGGAGAAGAAAUUUGUGAUGAAGAAAAAGAAUAUUUUGAUGAGACAAAGAAAGAAGAAAUUGUAGAAGUUGUGAGGGCACAUGAAGAUGAAAAAUUUGUGAUUCAAGAAGAAAUCUCAUGUGUGGUUGAGAAAAAAGGUGAAGUCAUUGAUGAAAUAAAAGAUGUGCCUGAAGAUCAUAGCAACGUAGAAAUCGUUAAUUUUGUCGAGAUUGAUGAAUUUUUUGAAGAGAAAAAUCAAGUGAUGGGCUUGGUUGAGAUCAAUUGUGAGGUGGACAAAUUAAUUGAAAAUUGUGAUACUGCUAAAGUUGAUGCAGUUGUUAGUGUUGAAAAACUAAAGGAAAAUAUGGUGAUGUUGAAAACCUCAUUGGUAAAAAUUAUGAUUUUAUGAUUUUAUAGGUGAUAUGGAUGAAUUGAAUUGUGGAGUAUCUAAUGAAGAAUUAGUGGAUAUAUUUGAAUUUUUUGACAAGAGUGAUCAAGCCAACAAAUUAUUCGAAAAGUAUAAAUUUCGUCCACUACCGCACGUGAAGAUGAAAUUGGAGAUCUAUUGCAAGUUAGUGUUGAAUGUUAUUUAUACUGUGAUUGAAUUUUUCAUGGAGAUUCAAACUCAUGAUGGCAAUAGAGAUGACAACAUCAAGAGUUUGGUUUAAGGGAGACAAUGCAGGAAAUUAAACCAAACUAUUUUAGUAUUAGUUUCCUAAUUCUUUUUGGUGUCUUGUUUGUCUAGUUUCCAUAUUAGAUUAGAAAAUCUCAAUCAAUUUCCAAGUAAAUUUUGGUUUACGAUUAUAUUUUUUUUAGGAAGUUUUAAAGUCUAUAAAUACUACCAAUCUAGUAGGUUGUUAAUUGAAGUGUAGAAUUGAGUCUUGAGAAUAGGUUUGAGAGAAAAUCUCAUAAUUGAGAUUUGUGAGUUGUCGUAGGUGAAACGACUUGAUAUUUGUUAUUAUUGAAUUUUGAGUUAAUUAAAUUAUUGAGUAUUUGUUCCCCUCCUCUUCUCACAUAUUUUUAUAUGUGUUAGAAUUGUUUCCACUGUGUGCACACAUUUUUGUGUGCCAACAGUACAUCAGAGUUGUGGAAGGUAAGUUUACUUUAAUAAUCGCAAUAAAAUGAAAAACUAAUUGACUCAUUUUAUAAGUGUUUAUAAAGAAUGCUAAUACCCUAUCACUUAUGCUUUUUUACUUGUAGCAAGACGAUGAAACUAAGCUUUUUGCAUCCAAAUGAAGAAGAAAAUUUCAUACGAUAGAAAUUGCAUGUAGGAUAGAAGGCGUACACUUAAGUAUCAUUACUUAACAACCUUAAACAAAUAAUGUGAUUUAUCCAUUGGUAAAAUUCACAUCUAUUUUCCUCUUUUCAAUUGGCAAGAAUUUUUUUUUUUUAAUGCUCAACUCUGGCAUCAAUGUACAACAAUAUCCACAUUGGUGAAAUUAUUAGGAUAAUUUUGAAACAAUCAAGUUAUCAAAGAAAGGAUUUAAAAUCACAUGCAAUUAAUAGAGCUCGGAAACAAACCAAAAUCCAACAAUCCACCCACUAAUUUUAACGGAUGGGUUGGAUAAUUGGGUUAUAGAUUUUGUUGGAUUGGGUUAGAAAAAUCUAACUUAUUUAUUGGGUGGGUUGGUUUUUUAUUUAGGCACCAAUACACAAUCUAUUUUUAAAAAAUUCAAAAUAAUAAAUACAAGAUUUAACACAUAUGCAUAACCACUUGCAUUUGGACAUGUGUUAAUAAUUUGUAGACCUAUUUGUAUUCGAAAUCCUCAUAUAUACGUUUUCAAUCAAUUCUUUAUAAUUUUAAUUUAAAAGAAAAAGAAACUUGAAAUGAAAACUCAUGCUUAUUUUACUUUUGCGGUAGUAGUUAAACUUACUCAACUUCUAUAAUCAUUUAUUAUACCUUUUAAGAUUAUUUUGUUUCCCAUCCCUUUUUUUUUCUUUUCCUUUUUUUGGUCAUUGUUCUCUGGUUUGCUGGACCAUUGAAGAUGAAGUGAUGUAUAAUCUCCAUUUUGGGAUUGGAGAUGUAAUUAUGACUUAUCAGCAUAACUCGUAAUCAAAGGCUUUAUUUUUUCACCAAGAAAUUGAUUCAGCGCUUGGUGUCAAAUUUCCUUUAUACUUCUUUUUUUUAACAGUGAAACGAAAGAAAAGUGAUUUUCUUUGCAAAUUUUAAAGUAUGGAUUGCUACUUGCUUGAAUUUGUUAACAUUUCGUAUACCUAGAAUAGAGUUUUAAAUUUGUUCUAAUUGCAUUCUUUCACUUUUUUCUAACUUGUUCUAUUUCACUGUUAAUAGUUCCUCACCAAUAUUAUAAUACAACAAGUUUAUGUCUCUUAAUUACAUUUUCAAGCAUAAUAUAAUCUAGCAUCAAUAAUUUAAAUAUAUAGAAUAUUACAUCUUACAAUAAAGCAGAUACAAAUAGUAAAAAUGUUAAAUUAGUGGGGACAAAAAUAAACUUCAAUCAAUUAGUAGUAUUAAAAAGUAUAAAAUAAACAAAUCUUUUAGCUAUUCUAUCUAAAUGUACACUUUAUUAUCUCAAAUCCACAGUACAAGCAAUAUAAAAUAUUAUUCUAUUUAUGAUGCAUUUUCAAGGAAAUUAAGGAGUGUAUGUUUGUGUGUGUGAAAGUGUGUUAGUGUGUGAAACUAUGUUUAUGUAUACAAAAAUGUGUUUAUAUGUGUGAAAAAACCUUUUCAUGCAUGUAAAUGUAUGUGAAAGCGUUUAUGUAUCAAAAUAUAAAUAAUUACUAUAUUGGGUCAUAUUUGAAUCAUGGGUUUGAUAUGACCAAAUAUGUCUCAAUCUAAAAUUAAUCCAAUCUAAAGUUGGACAAGUUGGAUAUAACCUAUUAAGUGAAAAUCCAACACCAACCUAUCCAAAACCCACCAAAUUCGCCGAAUUGCUAGGUAUACAUGCAAUACAAAAUCUACUUCAAUUCGGCUAGAUUAAAAUUUUUGAAAAUCUGUAUUUCUCCAACAUUUUCCAUACCAUUUUGUUGUAGAUAAUAUCUAGCUUAUUGAGAAUUUAGCUUCAUAUCAUUUUGCUGGAGCGUGCACUUCACGUGUGCUUUGUAGGCAGGUAAUAUUUUUUACUCUUUUCAUUGAUUUAAUACACUAAUGCUUGUCCUUUUUUUUUUUUUUUCUUUGGAAAAAUUCACAUUCAUGGGGAUCCUAUAAUCUUUGGUGUGAAACAUAAGUAUCCUUUUGUAAUCGCAAUACAAAAGGAGAAUUAAUUUCACGCUAUGGAGCCAGCAUACGUGAUUUACUGGUUCUGCAACUAUUUAAUAUUCAAUCUGUGUCCCUCUUUUCAGUUGAUAAGAAUGCUCAUAUUAAUGCUCAACUCGGGCAUCAAUAUGUUAAUGUCCUGGUUUAGAGAAAUUCUUAAAUUAAUUUUGAAAGGCCCUAUCGACGUCGUAGUAAUAUGAUAAGUGAUAAUCUCUAAAUCAGAAAAAUGAAAAGGGUAACACAUUAACUGAAUUUAAUAAAGGUAUGUACACAAUUUGCACAUAUAUAGAGUAUGUUUUUUUAAAGAAAAAUUGUAUAGAUAAAUCCAGUAUGACUUUCUGUUAAAAAUUCGUAUUGGCAGUAGCUGAAUUGGCUAGUAGCUUCGGCUUUGAGGACAGGUCAAGGAGGUUGGAGCUUGUGCGAGUAACGUGUUCCAUUUCUUUUAUUAACUGUUCCUUUCUCUGCUUUUAUCUACAACUAUCUCCUCAAUGACACCCAAGAAAAAAAUCUUAAUUUAAAACUACUGACUAGUACAAUCCAACCAUUUUCACUCUUGCCCACUAAGUGCCAUUUUCUCUGCCAAAUAGAACUCUAUACAAGAUUGGAUUUACUCCCUAAUUUUACUUCAUACCCAUCAUUGUGCCAAAAAACCCUACAGGUUAUAAGAAUUAUUUUAAUUUUCUUUUGUGAUUUUCAUGAUGCCCACUAAUAUUUGUUCUUUUUUCGAAUUAAAUAGUGGUUGCUAUGAUUUAAAAUUCUUAGUCAAAUGUCAAAAUUGUAGUGGUUGCAAGUAAUUUCAGUUCUCAUCUUCUUGCAUCAUUGUUAUAAUUGCCUUUACUCUUUAGUAGAAUAUUACAGUUGAAAGAUUUUUUUCCUUAUUUUGGGUUUAUUUAUUAAAAGAACAUACGCUAGCUAUGAAUAAAAAUAUUAGGCACUUGAGGGUGUGACGAAGGUUCGAGCUGUUAAUUCUUUUUAAUUUUCUAAUUUGUUCUAAAUUUAGGAUGGUUUUCUAGGUAUACAUAGUUUCAAAUUGAAUUUAGCACCUCCACAAUAUGGUAUCAGAGCUUACUGAUUCUUCCUUGUUAUAGUCUUUAUGAGAAUCAUUAGCAUCCUCUUUAGAGCUAGAGGAUUUUGAAUCAAGAGUAUCAAGAUUCUCAAUCAACAGACCCUUUCCCUUGUCCUAAGCUCCAUUCCUUGGAGGUUUACUCUCAAUGGUCAUCUUUUCAUUUGUCAUAUUUCCAUCACUUCUUACUCCUCUUUCCUCUAGAUGGAAACUGCUACCUACCCUUUACAUAAUUACAUCUUAAGUUUGGAGGGACAUCUUCUUCAGUUACGAAUAAAACAUCACCUCCACUUCUCCCACCAUCAUCAUCACAAUCAUUCUUACCCUUGGUAACAAGUUUCCUCUCCCUUUUAUUCAUUUAAUUUGUAAUCACUUCUUCACACUUUUUCUAUUCGUGCAAAAUCUUAACAUCACUUCUAGUUCCCGUAUCAUUAUUCCUACCCUUGUAAACACUUUCUCUCCUUUUCCUCCUCUUCAUCCUAUUAAAUUCCUUCAAGUUCAUUUCUUCCACCACUUCCUCUUCUCUCAAAAUCCUAACAUCACUUCCACUACUCUCAUCAUCAUUGAAAUUCUUUUUAAGGGUUCCCUUCGUUUUUCUAUUGAAGAUCUUUUGGUUGACAUUUCCCCCACCUUUGCUUUUCAUCACUUCUAUUGCUGCUAAUUCUAACCAUUUCUUCACCGUUCCUUGUCAACUUACCAAUUCUUCCCUCUUUUUCCCUCGAUAGCGUUCAUUGCAUGAGAGUCAUGGGCUUUAUUCAUAGGAAACUUUCUGAUAAUCCUCUAAUUCAUCAUAUUGAGUGUUGUUUGAUUAAUGUGUAUUUUGUUGAGAGUUUACACCUAGGUAUCAGAGCUCUAGAUUCAAGAAAUUGAUUAAGAAAAGUAAAUAGUAUUCAUAUUUGUUUCUAGUACUCGUAUUUGUUUAAGAGUAUUCCACCCACACCUAGAUUAGGUCCUUUUUCUCUUGAAAAUUAAAGUUAUUUAUUUGGUAAUUUAUCAUCUAAAUUUGUCAAACCUGUUCUUUUAUAGUUCCAACAUUUGAAUCUUGUUUCUAGAGUAGACAAUGAAUUACAAUGUCAAAAUCAACUAUAAGUUUUUAUGCUUGAAAAAUGAAUUGAACAGUAAAUAGGUAGGCAUUUCGUUAAAGGUAUUGUUAAGCUAAUUGAAAAACUUAUCUUGAUACAUCAUUUUAUUUUUUUUGUGAUGCGUGCGCUUUGCGUGCGUUGGGUAUGUACAUUUUUUGUUUGCUUUUCCACUAACUUGUAGUAUUAUGUGUGUUUUUGUCAUUUUCAAUUACCAAUUCAAAGAACAUCCGUGGUGUGGAAUGUAAGUAUACUUUAAUAAUAGCAAUAAAAUGGAAAAUUAAUUGGCUCAUUUUAUAAGUUUUUAUAAAGAAUGCCAUUACUCCAUCACUUAUGCUUUUUUCACUUGUAGCAAGAAAGGAAAAAGCAAUUUUCAUACGAUGGAAAUCGCAUGUAGGAUGGAAGGCGUACACUUGAGAACUAUUUAAUGAACAACCUUAAACAAAUAAUGUGAUUUGUCCAUUCAUAAUAAUUCAUAACUAUUUUCCUAUUUCAAUUGAUAGAAAGUCCAAAAAUUUAGGAUAGUUUAUAUCUCAUUAGUUUGCUACAUCGAUUUAUUGGAGAUAAAAUGCUAACUAAGAACUUUUGCUUAAUCUCAUUUUGUGGUGCGUGCGCUUUGCGUGUACUUUUCAUGUAGAUUUGUGCUUUAGUCUUUCAUUGAUCUGAUGCACUAACGCUUGUGUUUGUCUAGCUUUUGACCAAUUCAAUCAUGAGUAUACUUUGUAAAAUCAAAAAGAAGAAUUGGUUUUAUAGAUAUGUAAGCUUACAUAAUUCGACUUUCCAUUCAGAAGUGUUGACAAGGAAUCCCGUUACCUCUUCACCUAUGCUGUCAACCGAUAGCAGGACAGUGCCUUUGAAAUUGCCAGCAAGAUGAAAGGUGUACAAUUGAAAACCAUUUAAUUAGCAGCCCUACAAAAAUAAUUUAUUUAGUCCUUUUAAUCCAAAUAAAAUCACACGCAGAUUAUACCAUAAAAGUAAUUACACUUUUAAUUUUCUAUGACCGAAAUUGUAAAUUGUGGUUGAUUAAGCAUUCAUGUCAUGAAACUCUUCAUCCUCAAAUAUUAAGUGUGCAAGGUAGAUGAUAUGUGAUCCAGCUCAAAUGUUAAAGUACAGGCAAAACUGCCAAAUAAUUAUAUCGGGUGUAAUUUUUUGUUUUUAGGUUAUGUUUUGGGCGGCAUGUGUUUUUAAAAAUGAUGCUAAAAUCUCUUUUAAAAAAGGUACUCAGAUUUGGGUCGCAAAGUAAUGACAAAUUCGGUCAACAAGUCAAAAGUUUGUUUGAAUUAUCAAUGUAUCAAUACACACGUUACUAGCUGUUGUAUAACACGACACAGAAGAUAACUUAGGCAUAGAGGAUUUUAAGUGAUCCUCUUUUAUCAGGUUGGGUAGGUCAAUAUGAGGGAAAUUUGGCGCAUCUAGAUUUCCGUCUCUACUACUUAGAAAACAAUUGAAAUUAAAACAGAUGAUCUUAGGAGAAAAGUGAAGAAAGCAAAGCUGAGAAAGCUAGAGGAAAAGUAAACUUUGGAUACUCUUCCGGUGGAGUUUGGCCAUAGAAUGCCCAGUUCUCGCCAGUAAAGCUGAUUGAUCAGAAAGUAUCAAGUACAUAGGUUUAUGGAAAGGAACAUUGAAGUGAGAAGAUCGAGUGAGGCUUAAGUGAACGGAAUUGAACUAUCAAGGAGGGGUCAAUCUCUAAUAGGCACAUGAAAUGAAAUAAAGUUAGAAUUGAAAGAUCAACUAACCUACUCAAUACUGAAAUCUGGUUUAAUUCGUUAAGAGUUCGGUCGAAUUUGGUUCAUGAACAAAUCAAGCUACGACGAGGUCUCAAAUUUUCAAUCCUCGCAGCCAUCUUCAAUCGCAAAAGUAUGGCAAACUGGAUGGGGCACAAAACUAUAUGGGAUUAUGAUGUGCGUAAAUUUUGCGAAUAAAAAAUCAACCACGGCUGAAAAUAAAGAAUAUACUACAAAAUAAUAUGCAUCACACAAAAAGGCAGGAUUGCCCCAAACAGCCCUGAGAAGACUCUGCAUGAUACCUUAUUUAUACCGGAAGCUCUCGCUCUUCCUCUUCUCUCCUCAACCCUAUUGCAAGCCUUAGAAAAAUAAAAUAAAUCAAAAUAAAAUCUUUCAAAAGGAUCAUCAAAAUUCGAGUCCCAAGACAAGGUGCCAAGAUAAUAAAUUCCUUGUAAAAGGUAAUUGCCUAAAUAAGCUUUACUUUUUGAAACAUCCACGGGUAGAAACCAAAUGGUCGGAAAGGUAGUAGAGAGGCGAAUGAGGAGGAUGGUUGUGAUCCGUAUAUUCGAAUAUUUUUGGACCUUAUUUGGGUGUUUUUUCUAUUUAAUUUUUGUAACUUUUUAUAUUUUUUUACUAAAUAUGUAGUUAUCUAAAUAUAAAUGUUAUCUAAUAACGCAACUUGAAUUAGAUUUUUUUAUUAUUCAUUGAAUCAUAGGUAAUUUAAAAUAUACGAAAUUCUCACGGUAUGAUAUAACGAAAGAAAGGAACUUUCCUAGAAUUAAUGGGACAAACUUACAUAAGCAAUUGUAAGAAUAUAUGACAAUUAAACACAAUUUAGGAAGUAUUCAUCCACGAGUGGGGAUUUUAUUCCUUUGUUUUUUUUUCAAAAUAAUAUAUUUUGAUAGAAAUUUUCAAAAUAAUGUAUUUUGAUAGAAAUUGACACCAUCUCAAACUUUCAACUUUUUCAACAAAAAUUAUUUUACUAUUUUGAUUUGAAAUGUGGACGGGUGAGAAUUCUAGUACUUGUACAAGUGAAUAAGACAUGUCUAGUUACACAAUCUAUACAUGGAAAUAAAUUCCUGUGAUUUAUAAUCUCCAUAAUCAUGAUCAUUUUCUCCAAUUAAUCAAGAAUCUUCAAUCACUUAAUUGAUUUGGAUUAAAGCAUUUAUUAAUUGUAACCACUAAUUGUAUUUGGAUGCGAUUCCCUAUUUAAUAUCUUUCUCAAUUCUUAGCGUAUAGACAUAUCCAACUACUAGUUAUAGAUAUAUAGGCGAUUCUAUGAAAUCUUAAAAAUUCAAUGUUUUUUUUUUUUGAAUGUGUCUGCUGCAUGUAUAUGAAUCAAAAUUCUUCCUAGGUUGUAUUAGAUCGUCCUGUUGGCUAGCCAUGAAAAACUCCGACUGCUACAUAUUUAUCGGCCUCGCUGGGGUCUAUAUGUCAUUGAUGGGAGCAUUACUUUGGAUAGACAUUAACAAGCCGAAUUCCCCAGAGAUCAGCAUCGACUCCAUUGGACUCCAGAAUAUCAACAUAUCUUCUGAUCAUGUAACUGCCGAUUGGGAUUUCAAUUUUUUAAUCAAAACAGUAACGAUUUUGGCUUUUCCUAUCUAUUCACAGCUUCCUUGUAUUAUGACAAAACUUACAAACUCCGCAACUUAGCCAGAGCUGAAACUUUUCUCGCGGAUUCUAAUAGUCCAACUUUCUCGCAAGGUGGAAAAAAUAAGACCACUUUUACAGUGCGAUUUGAAGGUGAUUCAGUGCCCAUUGACGAUAAGUUGAUCUCCAAGAACGAAGGUGGAGGAAAUUCAGAAUUUUCGGGUGCCCAUUUGGGUCUAAAUCUGGAGGGGGAUAUCGAACCUGCACCGAAAACAAGUUUGUCGCCGAUAAUGCGUCGGGCCGUAUGUCCCCUCUAUGUCAAGUUUUCAGAGUGAAGGUUGGUAUCUCGUCGGAUUCUGCUACUGGAGUUGCUACACAUGUCUAUUAUGGCAAGGAUAGUCAUCGUUUGUCAUUGGAUAGUGUGAUUUAUAAGUUAGGAAAUUUGUUCAGUAACAAGUGUAGAAGACUUAGUGCUAUGUGAUUUUUUUUAAGUAUACCAAUUCUUCCAAUAGCUCGAUCUCUUUCAUUUCAUUCAACAUGUAAUGAUUACGUCUUUGGAACUGAAAUUUAGAUCUUCGAAAUCCUUACUCUAGUCAUUGGCUUUUCGCAAAAAAAUUUUUUUUUUAAUAUUCUCUGAAUACAUUUGUAAACUUUAUCAAAUGGAAGAACAUCAGCUGAAAAUUUUUCUUUACAAAAUUUUUCAUGGAAAAAUUCGAGAAUUUGUUUCUGUCGUACAAAAAAGACCUCAGUUCGUCAUAUUUUGCUACGAAUCCAGGAACUAGUUUUGUUUGGUCUGGAACUUGAACGGGCCCCCGCUGGAAUUUGGAACUAAGAAGAGUAUUUGUUCUUUCCGGAGCUUAAAACCGGGAAGUGUGAGUACUCUUUUUUUUUUUUUUCAUUCAUGGAGUCAUGGAGCAAGAGACUGUUUGAGAGAACGGCAAUAACAUCAUCCAAAACAUAAAGUCCUAUGCCAACAAAAUCCUACUCCCAUGCGAUGCACAGCUAAAAUACUAGUCUAAAUUUGGAUGAGAAAAUAUGGAGCAGCAAUUGAAGAACUUUAAAGAUUAUUUCAAGACUAAACUAUAUCCAUACUAAGAUAGUCCGAAAUUUAAGAGAAAUAUCUUUUCCACAAAUUGGGUUAAAAUUAUCUCAAUGCAUAGAAAAGUAACCAACAUCCGACUCCUGCUGCAAUAAUUUUUCUGAUCGUCACCCUCCAAUAUUGACUUAGAUCUUUUCAUAGCGGUAGGAAGGUUAAAACAACCGGUCUUUUGAAAUCAGAAUUCUUCAAAUAUAGCCUCAGGCUAUCGUUUGUGACCAGCCAUGAAAGUUUUCUGCUGCUUUUUUGCUGGCAUUAUAGUCGGCGGCGCAUUGGUCUCACUCUUGGGGACAGCUAUAUUCGUAUGCAAUUACAAUCUGUCUACCCCACAGAUCAGCAUAGACUCCGUCCCACUCCAGAAUGUUAAAGUAUCUUCUGAUCAAGUAACUGCUGAUUGGAAUUUCGAUUUUUCUAUCAAGAACUCUAACGAGUUUGGAUUUUCCUAUAAAUUCAAAGGCACCUUAUAUUAUUAUUUUUAUUACCAAUACGGUUCUAGAUCAUCCAGUUCUGAAAUUUUCGUUGCAGAUACCAUUAGUCCAACGUUGUCACAAGGUGGAGAAAAUCAGACAACUUUUAUGGUGCGAUUUGAAGGAGUUUCAGUGCCCAUUUGCAAUAAGUUGAAAGAUGGUGGUGGAAAUUCACAACUUUCGUAUGUCUCUCUAGAGCUAACUCUGGAGGGGAAUGUUGAACCUGUGCCUAAAAAAAGUUUGUCACCGAUUAUGCGUUGGGCGGUAAGAUCUCUUUCUGUCGAAUGUUCAAAGUUGAAGAUUGGUAUUUCGUCAGAUUCUACUACCGGAGUUACUACAAAGGUCUAUUAUGACAAGGAUGGUGAUUGUUACUCUUGGUGGAAUAAUUUUUUGCUUGGAUGAGGCACUGGUGCCCAUGGAUGAAUGGCUGGUACCGUCCAGUCAUUGACCAAGAUCUCGAUCUGAGCCAUUGGUUUCAGUUGAUUUCAAAAUGCACUAUAUAUGAUCUUAUUUAGUGCAUUGGAGACUUCAAGUCAGUACAGGGGAAAAUAAGAACAGAAGUUUGAGAAUAGAUGUCAGGGUAUAAGAGUUCAUAUUCCUACCAUCUGAACUGUGUCGAUUUUGAGGACUAGAAUAUAUGAUUUCACCUUUGAAUAGAGUGGCCAAGAACGAACAUUAUUGACUGAUAUUUUGUUAUGUUAAAUUAAUAUGAAGCUAGUACGUUUGCUCGGGUGCCAUUUGUUUUUGGAUUCGAUAAGUGGUCCGACCAGGUUUUAGAUUAAAAUGGUCAGGAUGAUUGGAAUGAAUGUACCUUUAAAAACAUUGCCCGAACCACUUCCAAUAUGGGAUUUAAUUGUCAUGGCAUCUCUGUGGACUGUAGAGAUAUUUUGUUCCAGUAUACCGAAGAAGAUGAUCCUGAUGGAUAUUUUACUUGGCUUAAAUCCCGUCGUGCUAAUUCGUGAUAUAUUGACCUGUUUUUCCAAUUGACCAUCCUUGCUUAACUACUCCGACUCUUUAUAGGAUUGAGUUGUGUAAAAUAUUCUUGCAAAGGUGACCAUUGAUUUUUGUUAUAUGUUAUGCUUCAAAAGUAACAUUUUGUUGAUAUGGCAUAGAUCGAAAAGUAUGAAAAGGGUAAACUCGGUGCAAACUCUUCAAACAGGAAAACUUCCUAUUAUCCACGGGAUUAUACCCGAUGCUGUCCUAGUGAUACAUGUUCAGAUGAAAUUUUAUCAAACAACUUUCUCAAAAAAAGUAGGAUAAAUUACAUAUAACCCCUUGUACUUUCAUCUUUUACCAUAUGACCUCUCUAAUAUUUCAAAACGUCCACUUCACCUCUCUAUUGUUUUAUGUAAAGUGAGGACUUGACAAAAAAUAACCUAUAUAAUGUUGUUAGUUGAAACACCAAUAAUGUCCUUACUUAUAUACUAAAUCAAUCGAUGACUUAAACAACUCGUAAAAAAGUAUAGGGAGAUUAUAUGGAUAAAUGCAGAAAUUACAGGAGGUAAAGUGGAUAUUUAUAUAUACUUUAAGGGCGUUACAUGGAUAUUAAGAUUUUAUUGGUAUAAACACCAUAACUAAUUGUGCAUUCCAUCUCUUUUUUACUUUACAUACAAGAGAGUUAUGUGGCUAUUUUUAAAAACCUUAGAGAGAUCUUCUAACAUUAUGUAAAAUCACAGGAGGUUAAUAAGUAAUUUAUCCAAAAAAAAAGUAUACUUAACGAGUACUCAAGGGAUUUAUCCUGUAAUUUAGGGAUUUAAAUAGGUACAUAGCAUCCUAUAAUUUAUACAAGUAUUAAAGUAAUUUUUCUUUCUAAAGCUUUGAGAACUACAUUUUGGAUAACAAAAUAAAGAGUAACAAGUGAAAGAUUAAAAGGGCGUAUAGACAAUAAAUUAUUUUAGUAAUACAAGAAAAAUUCCAGGACAACAAUGUUAGUGAAAGUUUGGAUGAACGUCUGAUGUGGAAGGGGAGUGGUGUUAAGAAAAAAGCUGGGUCUACAGACUAAUUAGUGGAAAUAGAACUCUAGUUAUAAGUUACAAAAACACUUAUCCAUUCUCUAGUAGUAUAUUGAUAUGUUCAUAGCCAAAAUUAAGCAAUUAAGUUAAUCCGAAAAUUAAACUAAAGAAAGUUUGAUGCAGCUAUACAUACAUUGGAACUAGUAUGAAUACCCGUGCUAUGUACGGUGCUAACAUUAUUAACAAAAAUUAAAAGAGGAAGUGAAUAAAAAAAUUAAUUAAAAAUUGUACCAGUAUAAUUAAAAUGUAAGACUUGUCUAGCAAUAAUUCAAAGUAUAAUAAAAAUAUAUAUAUCAUUCAAAUACUACCUACCUCUACUUUCUUGAGAAUUAAGAGCAUGUAGAAUUCGAAAUUAGUGUAUUUUUACACAGUGUAUAAAUAGUAUUAUAAAAAUAAAUAUGUUUCCAAAAAAAUUCUACUUUCCUUUGCAAUUCUCUAAGAUAAAAAGCAUCAUAAUGAAAUACGAAUCGUGCAUGUCUGUCUUGUAAAUUAAAAUGCAAGUUAUCGCUGAAAUCUCUGAUUUGUAUAUUAACAUUGCACCUGUUUGAGAAGAAAAAGUUUUAUACAGUACAGAAAAAUAUGUUGAACUUAAAGGUACAUGAAAUUAAUUACCCAACAAUGGUGUCAAUCACAUCAUUACAAUGCAUAUACACUAUUUUUGCAAAAUGACCUUCACAUAGUUGUCCACAAUUUUUGCAUAUCUGAUAAAACAUGUUUUCUAUGUUAAUGCUUUGAAUCUAAGUAGGUAUUUGGAAAUAUUUAACCUAGUAAAAAUGAAAGAAGGUACAUGUUAUGAUUAUGAAUUGAAAAAUUUGUUCAGUAAUUAAUUAAAAUGGAGUAAUUUUACUAUAGCCAUGGUUUUGAAUUUAGGCACCAUUAAAGUGUUUUUAGGUGGAAUCCGUCCACUGUGAGAGCAUGAUAGGUAGUGUUUUUUUCUUACUGUAUUUGGUUUGUAGGUGAGAGUUCCUUAUCAAUUAGUUGUUACUAUUAGUUGUGUGAUAAAAUGUCAAACGUGAUUUAUAAUUUGCAGAUGUAAUUUGUAGGGAACAUGAUUUGUAGGGGUUGUUAUUAUCGGUUAGUUAAGUUAUAAAGAUUACUAAAUUAAAAAAAUCUAAAAUUGUAUUAAAAAUAAAAGUGUCAGACCUAGUUUGUGAUAUACAAACCUGAUUUAUAGGGGUGGUUAUUAUCCCUUAGUUAAAAGAUAAAAAUUACUCAAUUAAAAAAAUUAAAAUUAUAGUAAAAAAGGAUUUGGAUUUCUAACGCUUUUGGAAGCUCCUCAUGAAAAACGUUGCCUCUAAUAUAUAUAGUAUAGAUAGAUUGCGUAGCAGACUAUUAUUAAAACAGGUAAUAAGGGAUUUUGCUCUCUAAAGCUUUGAGAAUUUUAAUUCGGAUAAGAAAUUACAGAGCACCAAUUGAAGGAUUAAAAACAAUAUUUCAAGACUAAAUUAUCUUAUAUUAGUAAAUAAAAUAUAAGAAAUUUAUGAUAACGGUUUAGCAAUUUGUACUACUUAAUUAGUAAUUAACACUAUACUAUAUCCGUCAUUAGUGCAGAUUUAUAACAAUAAGACAAUUUUGUUUAUAACAACAAGGUUAUCUGCUAUCUUUCAAGGGAGAAACCAGAAGUUGGGAUAAAAUUAUCUCAAGGGAAAAGUAACCAAUAUCCUACUCCCACUGUGAUACGUCAUUCUUGUUGAUAUUCAUCAUAUACUUCAUUAGGACCCUCUAACAUCUAAAAACCCGUUUUCAUGAUCUUUCAAUAGCCGUACAAGGGUUUAACAACCGAUAAUAUUCUUUCAAAAGCCGUAAAAAGGUUAAACAACCCAUUAUAUUAAAUCAAAAUUCUUCCAAUAUAGCCUUAGGUUCCCUGAGAUAGCCCUUUUGGCCGGCCAUGGAAAAACAAAAGCCCAACUACGCGUGUUCUAGCAUUAUUAUAGUGGCCAUCGCUUUCUCAAUUAUUGCAACGGUAAUUUGCAUAGCAAUUAAAACCCGGAUGCCCCAUGGAUCAGCACAGACUCCAUAGCGCUCCAGAAUAUUAACAUCUCGUCCGAUCAAGUAACUGCUGAUUGGAAUUUCAACAUUUCUAUCGAAAACACUAAUAAGAUUGGCUUUUCCUAUAAGUUCAAAGCCUCCCUAUAUUAUUACUAAACUGACGGAUUCGGCGACAGAAACAGUUUACCAUGUUUCGUCGCCGAUGCCAUUAGUCCUACUCUCUCACAAGGUGGAAGAAACAAGACAACUUUUACAGCACGAUUUGAGGGUGUUUCAGUGCCCAUUGACAAGAAGUUGAAGAACGAAGGCGGAGAAAGAUCUGAACUUUUGAAUGUCUCUCUGGAGCUAAAACUGAAGGGGAUGUUGAACCUAUACCUAAAAAAUGUUUGUCGGGGAUAAUGCGUUCGGCGGCAAGUUCUCUUUCUGUCGACUGUUUAAAGUUGAAGAUAGGUAUUUCGUCAGAUUCUACUACUGGAGUUGCUACAGGGGUGUAUUAUGGCAAGGAUGGUGAUUGUAACUCUUCGUGGAAUAAUUUUUUUUCUUGGAUGAGGGACUGUUGCCCAUGGAUGAGGGAUUGUUAUUCUGAGUGGAGUACAUUCCUGUUAUAGCGUGAUUAUUAAGUUAGGAAGUAGGUUUAAAGGUAAAAUUUCUAGUGCGUUAUUUUAUGGAAAACUCAAUACUAGGUGACGGCACCUUAAUUUUAAGAAUUUCAUAUUUGUAUCUAUCGUUUUAAAAUAUUGUGAUCCCGCCUGCUUGUUUGUUUUUUAAGGAUUUCAUGUUCAUCUCCUUGAUUUUAAGGAUUUCAUGCUUGUUUUAUCGUUCAAGAGUAUCGUAAUUUGGAUUUCAUAUUUGUAUCUAUUGUGAUUUCAUGUGUUGUUUCUAACGUAUUUGGAUUUCAUGUUUGUAUCUAUUGUCAUUUUUUUACAAAAAAAAAAAUCAAAAUACAUCAUCAAAUCUGAUAAAAUUAGAAAUAUUAUAUUAUGAACUUGACCCCAACCAAUAUCUAUGCACAUGUUUAAUUGCUACUGCUUCAUGCAAUUUAUGUCGAGCCGUUGAGAUCUGACAAAUGACAAAUCUGACAAACACGCCUGAAAAACACAAAUUAAAAGAAAACUUUUUUUAGAUCAAAUGAAAACUUGUUACACACUAACGUAAAAAAGAAAAAAGAAAUCAUUGGUUAUUACCUACUAACAUAAAAAAAAAAAUCACUGGAAGGAUUGGGAGGAGGGAAGGAGAUCAAAUGGCCUCCCUCCUCUCCCAUGGAAGGUGUUGUUUUGUUUGAGAGGAGUGGAGAAAGUUAGAGAGAAGAAAGAGAAUAGCUUGGUCCAAUGUAUUGAAACCGAGCAUCAUAAAUGGACAUUUUGUUAGAUUAUAUGAAGAAUUGAGGAUAGCACAGUUACUCGGAUGCCCAUAUAAUUGGAGUGGAUCAGAAGUAUGAUCAGAUUUAUCUGCGUGAUGAUUGAACCUUGUAACUAAGAAAACAUUGGCAGAACCUCCUCUAUAUAUAUAUAUAUAUGGGACUUUCUGUCAAAGGUAUUUCUGUGGAUUUUAGAGAGACUGUGUUACCGGAUCCAUAUCCCUAUUAUCCUGAAGAAAAUGAUCCUGAUGGCUACUUUACCUGGCCUACAUUCAGUAGUGCUGAAUUCCUGAAAUAUUGACCUUUUAUCGUGUUGAUAAUCAUUUCUUAAUUACUAUAAUUGUUGAUAGGAUUGAGUUGAGUUGUGUAUUCUUACCCAAGUGAAUUCUUGAUUUUUGAACACUUUAUAUUUCAAUUUUGAACACUUUCUAUCCUCAUCUCUUAAAUCCAAUCCGCAUGCAAAUUAAUGACAAUGUAUUAAAAGGUAGUCAAAUUCUUCCUAGAAACACACAGUAAUUUCAGCUUAGACACGAUCGUACUCCAAAAAAGUUUAACAUAUCUUCCAAUCAAGUAACUGCCGAUUGGAAUUUUGGUUUUUCAAUCAAGAGCAAUAACUAGUUUGGCUUGUCCCGUCCUUUGCACUUCCUCCCUGUAUCACGAUGACAAGUUUCGCGAAGAAAACAUAGUCCAAGUUUUGUUAGAGAUGCCAAUUUUCCAAUAUUUUCACAAGGUGGAAAAAAUCAAACAACUUUUACGGUGGGAUUUGAAGGUGUUUCAUCCCACGUUGAUUGUGGAAAGAAUAGGGUGUUUGGUUAUAAGUGUGAUGAAAAAAAAGUCUCACCUUUUGAGCUAACUUUUGAAAACCCCAAGCGGGUAGUUCGCUGAUUGGCUUUCUAGAUCUUUAUUUAGAUGUCAUCGUUUAGUGUAAGUCAGAAUACCUCUGUGUUGAAAAAAAAAAAAAAAGAGCUAGCUUUUGGAGUGGAAAAGCCCAAUGGCACCCAAAAAAAAAAAAAUUCGGAGUGGUCCUUCGACUUACAAAAAAUAAAAAAUAAAAAUCAACUGUACAACUCUAGCUUCCCUUGUUUCUCCUCUUAAUAAUUAAAUCUUCUUUUUCUAUGCCUCUUUUUCUUUCACUUUUCUUCUUUAAAUUGUUAUAAGGGAAAUUUCAUAAGCCUCCACUAGAAAAAAGAAAAUUCACAUAGCACUCCUCUUGUUUUAAAUAUAUAUUUACAAUAAUCAUGUACUGGUAUUUUUUUUAUGAUGUGAUAUAUGUGAUAUUGAAUAUAACAAGGUGAUUGGGAUAUGUAUUUGCGAUAUAAACUUUUUCCUAUUGAAAUUGAUAGGGAAGUGAGUCACAUGAAAGUUUCAACUUAUUAAAUUUCUUUUACAAUUCCUUUCUUUCUAGUUUCUAAUCUACUUCCUCCAUUCUGAACUUGUACAAAAAUUAGAAUGUCUUAGAAUUUACCAUUCAAAAAACUAGCUUGUAGUUAUACAUUUUAUUCUUAUUUUAACAAUUAAUGAAUGAGCAAUUUUUUUAAUUUAUAUGACAUUAGUAUUUUGGGUUAAUUACAUUUACCUCCCUUGUGCUAUAGCCAAAAUACAAGUAGACCCCCUUAGAUUUGGAAAAUAACAGUCACCCUGCUUUGACUAAACAUAGAUCUAACAAAUGAGCCCUUCCUAUUAGUUUGUUAACGUCUGUUUGUCCCAAGCCAGCCAAAGAAUAUUCAGAAGUCCAAGAUUACCCCCCUACGUCUUCCCAAAAUAAAAGGAAAGGGCAAAAAGAAAAAACAAGAUAAAUAGAUGAAAGAAAAGGGCAACAGAGAAGAGGAAAACAAUGAAAAACCCUAAGUCGUUGGUCUGCCUCCAUCGUUUGUUAUUCCAGAAACCAUCGCUACCUUUGCAUGUGUAUUCACCUUUCCUUUUUCUUAAUAUAUCAACCCAAAGAAAAGAGCAACAACAUCUUUCAAGCCCUGAAUAUGAUGACUAGUAUUUGAAGAUAGGUAGGCAUAAAUUUGUGUUUAGCGAUUAAAGAUGAGAGAUUUGUGGUUGGUUUGAUUGGCUGUCCUGAAUUUUUUUUUUUUUUUUUUUUUUGUUGACACAAGAGUGUCCGGGUCAAUUUUUACGGGAUCCGACUAAUCCCCUGCAGCCUGGGCCCGGCGCCUCAAUUUGACCCAAGCACGAUAAGUGCGCGGAGGAAUCCAGCAAAGCAGAGACUCGAUCUUGGGAUCAAGUGGUCACCAGUGGGAGGUGCUACCGUUGGACCAUUCACGCGGGGGCGACGAUUGGCUAUCCUGAAUAUGAUGACUAGUAUUUGAUGGUUUAUAGCUUCUUCUUUUUUUUCAUCUUUCUUCUCAUUUAAGGGGUAUGUUUGUCCAUACAUGUAGAAUAUUAACGACAUUUAGCAAGUGUCACAUCAAAGGGGCUGACUGUUAUUUUUCAUACCUAGGGGGUCUAUUUGUACUUUGGCCAAAGGACAAGAGAGGUAGAUGUAAUUAACCCUAGUAUUUUUACUUUUAUAUUUAAUGCUUCAUUUUUAUGUCUAUAUAUUUAUGAAAUAACUUACACACACACAUAUAAACUUAUUGUUAAAGAAUGCGAUUAAUUUUGAGAUAAACAAUUCUUUCAAUAUGCAAAACGUUAUAUUCAUUACAUGUUUUUAUGUAUAUUGAAUACAAAAGUGAAUAAGUUCAAUAUUGAAUAUUUUCUAUUAAUGAAUAGACUAGUCAAAUUUUACCGUUACUUUCUAGCUAAACAAACAAAGAAUUCGUAUUUUCUUACAUUAGUUUCUUGUUAACCAAACAAAUGUGAAAAAAUCAGUUUUUUUUUUUACAUCACUUCACUUCACUUUUUCUACGACACACUUUCUUAAACAACUUUCCCAUCAAACAAGCAGAGCUAAUUGAAGUAUUUUGCAAGGCCCCAUCCAAUAUUGAAGUAUUUUGCAGAUCUAAUAUUUGAAAACAAUAACAAAUUCCAUUUUUAUUUUUGGGUUAUCUUUUUAGGAAAACCAUUGUAAGAAUUCCCGGGGAAAAGUAUUAGGGUAAAAAGGUUUCCUUUUCCCUUCAUUUUCCAUUUGCAUAUUCAUAUAUUUUUCUUUCUUCUUACUGAUUCGAAUGUCCUUUUCCAGUGGAAAAAAAAACUAGUGGAUAAACUUCAAAAGAAAUUAGAAAGUUAAAAGCAGAGUGGAUAAACUUGAAGGGGACAAGGCAAUAAUCUAAUCUAAUGAUCUUUUAUGAUGAAUUUGAAUUACAUUCCAUAGCUGCAAAAUAGAAUAAUCCACAGAACAUAGGCGAAUAGCCGAUACCCAAAGUUAAAAUAUCAAACCUCCGAUAUUUUCCACACUGCAAUCUGGCAUUAACGAAAAAUAUCCCUCAUAUUUUUACUUCAUUGUCUUUUAGCCCACAUAUUCGAAAUGAACCAUUUUGGCCCCAUGCUUCAGAAUCCUUGUGUCUAAAAAUUUUGUUUCAGUCUAUUUUUUUGCUUGAAGAUGUGUCAAAAAAAAAUUCAUAGGUUGAAGGAAUUUUUAUUGUAGCGGGAAAAAUUAUUCACUUGUUAUAGAAAAAAAAUACUAUGCUUUCAUUUUUGGUAUAAAGAAGGGUUUUUUUAAUAGGUACCUAUAAGACACUUGUUAACACACCUAACAUUCAUCUAAUUACCAUGUAAUAUACACAUAUUAAUAAUUAUUAUUGUCCUUUGCAUUUAUAUAUUUUAUCUAUUUAAUUUUACCCAUUCUCUCUUGUAUUUAUUUAUUUUUCCUAAUUAAUCUUACAUUUUCAAAAAUAUGAUACCUGAAAUAUAUGUUAAAGGCACCCAUUAAACAGACUCAUAAAAGAAUCAGUCACUCGAUGCAUCCUUGAUCUUUUUAGGCAAAAAAGAAACUUGAAACUUGAUCAUUAGAUAUGGUGUAGACCUAAAAAUUACUACUAAGUAAAAAUAUGUGAAUCCAUUUAUGUGAUUAUCAUUUUUCCUUAUUAAUAUACUUUCUCCAGCCUUAAAUGUCACAUUUCAAAUGUGAAGGGCCAAAACUCGCAGAGUAAAAAUAUUCAGGACUAUUUAUGUAAUUUUUCCCGUUUAAGUGUACUAUUUUAAUAAUAAAAAAAAGAAAGUAUCGAGGAUGCUUUGCUGGAUUCUUGCCGACUUUCUCACCUCCUCCCACUACUUCCACUAACUUCAUAACCACCGCCCUGCCACCCCUGCACCUCCUCAUGCUCCUCCGCUUCUUCCAUGGCUGACCCGAAUAACCGACCCGUCACCGGCUACCCAGCUCCGACCACCAAUGGUCACCCACCGCCUCCGUCCAACACCUCCUACCCCUACGCUGCACCACCACCUGCUGCUUACUACAACCAACAAUACUACACGGACCAGCUUACCACCAGCCUGAUCCCGACGCCAUCCGCCGCGCCACCUUCCUUCGCCGCCUCUUCGCUUUCAUAAUUGCCGGCGUCAUCAUCCUCGGCACCAUCCUCUUCAU
rnacentral:lncRNA from 1 species